rnacentral:lncRNA from 1 species
CUAAAUCCUAAACUGAACUCUAGAUCAAACCUUAAAUCCUAAAUCAAACCCUAAAUCAAAUCCUAGACAAGCUAUAAAUCCUAAACCAAUUCUUAAAUCAAAUCCUAGACAAAUCCUAAAUCCUAAAUCAAAUCCUAGAUCAAAUCCUAGAUUCUAAAUUAAAUCCUAAAUCAAACCUUAGACUCUAAAUCAAAUCUUCAAUUAAAUCCUAGAUAAAUCCUAAAUCCUAAAAUACAUCCUAAAUCAAACCUUAGACAAAUCUUAAAUCUUAAAUCAAAUCUUUGAUCAAAUCCUAGACCAUAAAUUAAACUCUAAAUCAAACUCUAAAUAAAUCCUAAAUCAAAUCCAAGAUCAAAUCCUAAAUCAAAUCCUAAAUCAAAUCCUAAAUCAAAUCCUAAACAAAUCCUAAAACCCAAACUAAAUCCUAGAUCAAACUCUAGAUCUGAAACUAAACCUUAACCCUAUUCAAUUUAAUCCUAAUAUAGUUUAGAAUCUUAAUAUCUAUCAAUUGAAUCAUUGAACUUGCUUAAAUAUUUUACAUACUUAUCAACAAUUGAGUUGAAAAUAAGUACACAAAAUUUAUAGAUAAUUUCAUUGACUAAAUAGAAAAAAAAAAAAAAAAAUCCUAAAUUCUACUUAGGUCUUGAUUGGCCUCCUACUUCAAUUUGAAUAUUGAAAUUCAAGUGCCAAUAUCUCCUUAUCAAACCAUAAAAUUGUUCUCAAAUUUCACAUAUGUGUGGUAAUUCAAGUCUAUUACUUUUAUGCAAAUUUUACUCCACUCUAAUUAGUAGAUUACUGAAGAUCUUAAAAAUUCUAAUUACUUCUAAAAGUCCUAUUUUAAAGACCUCAACCUAUUUAAAAAUCAAUAGCCUUCAAUUCAACUAUUUGAUCAAGCUCAAACUAAUAGUAUAUACUUUAGACAACUAUUUUCAUAAGUUAUCAAAAUUUAAACUAUAUAUCUACUAUCAAACUCAUGAAAUUCUCCAAAAUGUAAUAUCCUUUUUAUUUCACAAAUUUCAGAGUCAUCCAAAAUAAUUAAGACUUUGUAAAGCUCUUGCAAAUUUAUUAUAUAUUCAAUUCCCUCAAAAUUAAUGCUUAAAAAAAUUCUAUCAAGUCUACUCUACAAUUCCACUUUUUGAUCUUCAAAAGAAUCCCAAAGUCGCCAUAAGUGUACAAUUUUGUGCCUCAUGAUCAAGGUUUAGGGUUUAGGGUUUCGACUCAGGUUGACAAUCAAUCCUCUCUGGAUAUCAAUUCUUGGCUUUUUGAGGUAAUUUUUGAUAAAAUUUACUCUUAAUUUCCUUCUUAUAUAUGGCUAUAUCAUUUAAUUUUCUAAUUUACUUUGUUUUGUCUUAUUUAUGACUCUACAAAAUAAAUAGAAGCCCAUUUUGUAAAAAUAAUAUUAGUAAUUUUUAGUUUUACUACCCUUUUAAAUAUUAUCUAUAUUUCUAAGAUGAUUUUAACUAAGAUCUUCUAUAAUAUAAUAAUUUCCACACUCUUUCACCUAUUACCUAUAUUACAUCAUGACAAUGGUGGUAUUUGUCUUCUUUCUAGGAUAUUUAUUGUCUUAUAUGGCUCAAAAAAAGAUACAUGAAAUACGAGAUGGAUUUUCAUAGAUUCUAGUAGAUAUAAUCAAUAAGCGACUAAAUUGACUUGUUCACAAAUAGGAAAUGGUCUAAAUCUACAAUAAUCCAAUUUAUCAUAAAAAUGAAUAGUUUUAAUAUUACAAUGAAGUAACUGUAUCUUAUCACUAAUAUGAAAAUGAGAUUAUUUCUUGCAAUAAGCAUCUACAUUGCACUUUUAUUGUUCUUGAGUCUCUUUUGGUCGUAUCUUUAUUGUUAUAUGUAGCUCACAUAAAUAAUUUGCCAAAUCUUCUACCGCAUGAUAAUCAACUUUUAAAAAGUCAAAAGCAUUAAAUUAUGAAUAACAUCCAUUAUUAAUAAAAAAAAAAAUAUUUAUUAUGUAAAAGAAUGUAUUAUAUUAUUAUAAGUAAACUUUGCCAAUGGCAAAAGAAUUGUCCAAUCAUCUUAUUGAUAAUUGAUGGUAUACCUCAAAUAUUGCUUUAAAAUUUAAUUUACACACCUUAUUUGUCCAUUAGUUUAAGGAUGGAAAGUUGAAGAUAGUUUGAUGUCCACUUUUAGAAUCUUAAAAAGCGUUCUCUAAAAUCUUAAUACAAACUAAGUUCUCUUAUUUAAUAUAAUAUCCUUAUACAAUCUAUAAUAACAAUACAUGUUGUCAAGCAAAAGCUUAGUUGUUUUUUCAAUUGUGAUAGUUUUUGUAUAUAAUACAAAAUAUGUUAUUUUAGUGAAACAAUCUACUAUCACAAAUAUAGAGUCAUAAAAACUUAAGACCAAAGGAUCCAUGAUAAAAUCCAUAGAAAUAGAAGAUUGUAGUUCUUCAUGAUAAAUAUGAAGUUCAUGUUCUUUUGUAUUCUAAGAAUAGAUUAAGAUGUUAUCUAUAUAACAGACAAAAAAGUCAUCUAAAAGCUAUCAAAAAAUAUCAUUCAUUAAAUAUUAGAAAUCUAUUAAUGUAUUUAUAAGUCCAAAAGGUAUGAUGUUGUAUUCAAAAUAUCCAUAAUUUAUUUGAAAUGUAGUCUUCCAUUCAUCUCCUUCUUUGAUGAGUAUCAAAUUGUAUGCCCCUUGUAGAUUUAUUUUUAUAUAGAACUUAGCUUAGUUUAAUUAAUCAAGAAGUUUAGAUAUCAAAAGAAGUAGAUACUUAUUCUUAAUAGUGAUUUUAUUGAGUUAUUGAUAAUCAACACACAUCCGUAAUGAUCUAUUAUUUUUCUUCACAAAUAAAAUUAGAGCUCAUGUUGGAGAUUUGGAAUGGUGUAUGAAGUUUUCAACCAAAUUUUCUUCAAUAUAUUCCUUGAGUUCAGCCAAUUCAUUUUGUAAUAAAUAAUAAAUUGGUCUAAAUGACAAUUGAGCUUUUUCUUGAAGGUCAAUUGAACAAUCAUAAGGAUGAUGUUUUGAUAGAGUAUUCAUAUUUUUUUUCUCAAAUACAUCUUGAAAAUCUUCAUAUUUGCUUAAAAUAUUACUUAAAGUCUUUCUACCAUUAGGAAUAGAUACAACAUAGAUGAUACAAGAUAAUUCUUCUUUUGCAGCAUAUAAAAAAGCUCUUGUACCUACAAAUAGAAGUUUAAUUAUACUAAAUUUAUGAAUUUUUACUUCAUCAAUUAUAUUCUUGAUUAUACUUUUAGAAAAGUCAAGACUAUAAAAAAUCUAAUCUAUUUUAUGACUAUUUUUUAUGAUUCUAUGAAUUGUUCUUUUAUUUGUGCCAUUAUAGUCUUCAUUUUUAGAAGCUUUUCCAUAAUAAUAUAUAAAGAAAGGAAGAUAUCUAAUAUUGCUCAAGACAAAUAAAAGAGGACUUGAAAAUAAAGAAAAAAAUACUAAGAAUAAUAUCAGUUUAGAAGAGGCUAAUCUGCAAUGCUUAAUACACUUUAGUUUUAUCAAAAAAAAUGAGUAAUCUACUUCAAAUCAAAAAAAGUCAAAGCUUUGAUAUUAUAAGUAUACUCUUGUUAAUUUAUCAAGGAUAAGAACUCAAUGAAAGCAAAUAAAUAAGUGAGACUCUCUCAAAGAAAUAAAAAUAGAGAAGUAUGUAUAAAAAUAAAAAUUAGAAUGGCUAUUGCCAAAAAAAAAAAAAAAAAAAAAAAAAUAGAGACUCCUUGAAAGUAAACUAAAAAUUUACAAAAAAAAAAAAAAAAAAAAAAAAAAAAAAAUGACAAGAGUGAAGAAGGCUUCAUUCUUGCUUCUAUAUAUAAUAUCUACCUAAGAUCUAUAUAGCAACAUUCUAUAGGACCUCAAAAAACAUAUUGACUUUCCAUAAUACAUAUCUUAACUUACAAGAAAAGCUUUCUAUAUGGAUAUAACAUGAUUAACAUAUUUUGCAAGCUAUCAACACAUGUGAUAUGUGGUUAGAUUGUUGUCCAAGUUUCUAACCUAUUAAUCAGCAACAAAUAUAUAUAAAGUCAAAACAAUGUCUAAGAAGCUUAUAAAAAGCUUUUUUUGAAGAUAUUAUGAAAUUAAUCUACUUUUACCUACUUCUCUCUAUUCAUAUCACCUAGAUAAAAAUUACAAUAGAUAUACAUAUUUGUGACAGUUGACUAAGAACUUCAUAUGCCAUUCAAAAUCUCUAAUACAAGCUCCUAUCUUAUUUGUAAAGAAUAAAGAUGAAUCUUUGCAAAUGUGUGUAGAUUAUCAAGGACUUAAUAAGAUCAUUCUUAAAAAUAAGUAUUCCAUUUUUCUAAUUUUAAGAAUUUUUGAUCAACUCAAUCAAGUAUAGAUUUAUAUAAAAAUAGAUCUAUGAUGAGUAUAUAACUUAGUCUACAUCAAAGAAGGAGAUGAAUAGAAGAUUGAUUUUUGAACUAAAUAUGGACAUUUCAAAUAUAAUGUCAUAUCUAUUGGACUCACAAAUAUAGCAAUUAUUUUUCAACAUUUCAUGAAUGAUUUUUCUUAUGAUUUUUUUGAUGAUUUUAUUAUCUAUUUUUUAGACAACAUUCUAAUCUACUCUAAAAAUACAAAAGAAUAUGAACUUUAUAUUUGUUUUAUAUUACAAAAACUUAGAGAUAUAAGAUUAUAUGUUAAGAUGGAAAAAUAUAUAUUCUAUAUUACUAAAGUUGAUUUCUUAGAAUACAUCAUUUUCAACAAAAGAUUAAUGAUAGAUUCAAAGAAGAUUCAAACUAUUAUAGAUUAGAAGAUUCCAAAAACAAUAAGAGAUGUGUAAUACUUUUAGAAUUUGCUAAUUAUUAUAAGAUCUUGAUUAAAAACUUUUUUUAAGUUAUAGCUCUUCUUACAUGUUUAACAUAUAAAUACAAACUUAAGUAGAAUAAAGAAGUCAAUGCAUCUUUUAAAGCCUUUAAGACAAAAUUUAUUUCUAUACCAAUUUUUUAUUGCAUUGUUUUUUUCAAGGCAUUCUUCAUGAAAACAGAUGCAUCACACUUUGCUAUAGGUAUCGUUUUGUCAUAAAUAGAAGUAGAUAACAAGCUCCACUUAAUACCUUUAUAUUCCAAGAAAUUUUCAAUAGUCGAGAUUAAUUAUUAAAUCUACAACAAAGAACUUCUUGCAAUAAUAGAUUCAUUUUAAGAAUGAUGUCAUUAUUUAGAAGGCACCUUCAGUCCUAUCAUUAUUUAUAUGGAUCACAAGAACCUCAAGUAUUUCAUGUUGAUAUGAGUUUUGAAUGAUUACCAAGUUUGUUGGAACAUGUCUUUAUGAAGAUUUGAUUUCAAGAUCAUUUAUUGACUCAAAAAAUAAUAAGGUUUAUUAAACACCUUUUUUAGAAAUUUUUAUCUUAUUUUUUAGAAAUUUUUAUCAAAUUUUUAUCUAUUUCUUUUCAUCAAAAAAGAAUGAUUUUUUGAAAUCAGAUCAUUUUCACCUUUAAGCAAUAUAAUCAACAAUGACUAUUGAUUCAACUUUUCUCAAGCAAGUUCAAUCAAGUAUGAGCUUUGAUCUUCUUAUUCAUGAUAUUAAAAAUAAUUCUUUUGAGUCUCUUGGUACUUCUAAGUUUAAGUUCAAGAAUAAUCUACUCUAUUUCAAGAGAAAAUUAUAUAUUCUAAAAGGCAAAGCAUGAUUAUAUGUUCUUCAAGCUUGUCAUGAUUUUUUAAUAGCAAAACAUUUUGGAUACAAUAAGACUUUGGAGCUAAGAUCUAAAGAGUUUUGGUGAUGUCAAAUAUAAAAGAUAGUCAAAGACCUUGUACAAUCAUGUAAUAUUUGUUCAAAAUCCAAAACUCCUUGUCAUCAAUCUUGUGAAGUUCUUCAACCAUUACAUAUUCUAAAACAACCAUGGUCUUUUAUUUCUAUAAAUUUUAUCAUGGAUCUUUCAAUCUCAAGUUAGUAUAAUUCUAUAUUUGUAAUAAUAGAUCAUUUUUCCAAGAUGGCAUAUUUUAUACAAUGUAUAAAAUCUAUCAUAAGUAAAAAAAUGGCUAAGCUUUUUUUGACAAUAUUUUUUGCUAGCAUAGAUUACUCAAGGAUAUAUAUUAGAUAGGAGAAAUUAAUUUGUAUUAAUAUUUUAAAGAAUAUUUUUUAAAAUUUUAAAAGUAGAUACAAAGCUCUCUUUGACUUUUUAUUUGCAAACUGAUGAGCAAACGGAACAUGUAAAUCAAGUUCUAGAGUUGUAUUUGAGAUGUACCAUCAACUAUCAUAAAGAUGAUUGGACAACUCUUUUGUCAUCAUUAGAGUUUGCAUACAAUGAUUUGAUGCAUUUUUCUAUUCAAUGAAUAUUUUUAUAUUAAUUAUGAUUAUCAUCUAUGACUUGAUACUUUUGACUUUUCAAAAAAUGGUAAUCUUGUUGUAAAAGAUUUGGUGAAUUGUCUGUCAGAGCUAUAUACAACAAUGAAGGCAUAAUUAAAAGAAUUUUAAGAAUGACAAAAGAUUAAUGUAAAUGCCUAUCACAAGGAAUAAUUAAAAUUUAAUAUGGAUAAUAAGAUAUAAUAAGUUUGUUGCAAUAUCAAAACUACUUAUUCUUAUGACAAAUUAGACUAUUAUAGGCUUGAAUCUUUUUUAUUUUUAAAUAAGUCAAUCAUGUUGUUUAUCAAUUACACCUUCUUAGAUCUAUAAAGAUCAACCAUGUAUUUGACAUAUUUCUUCUUGAAUCAUAUAAGAUAGUGAAUAUCUUGAGAAGAAGAAAAAUGCCACCUCUUCUUAUAGAAGUAAAUAAUAAUUAAGAAUUUGAGGUAGAAGAAGUCUUAGAUUCAAGGUUGUAUCUAAAUAGAUUGGAAUAUUUUGUUGAUUAGUACAGAUAUGAUAUUAAAAAAUACACAUGAGUGCCAACAAAAAAUCUUACAAAUAUAAUGAAGAGAAUUGACGCUUUUCAUCAAUAUUCAUCAAAACAAAGAUGAAGAAAAACAAGAUCCAUAAAAGAUGAUGACUGCUUUUCAUCAAAUUUGUUUCUAGAAAGGAAUAUUAUAUCACAUAUAUAUAUAUAUAUAUAUAUAUAUAUUCUAAUAAUUACCUAUAUGAUUAAAUAAAAGUAGAUAAAAGUAUAUUAAUUUCAUAAUAUCUUUUAGAAAAGUUUCUUAAAAGCUUUGUAGAUACUACUUUAAUUUUAUAUGUAUUUGUAAUUAAUUGAUAAGCUAGAAAUUUAAUCAACAAAUUAUCCACAUAUUACAUAUGUUAGUAGCUUAUGGAACAAGUUAACUAUAUGGUCCACAUACAAAUAACUUGCUUUGCAAGUUAAGACAUGUAUUUAGCAAAGUCAACACUUGUUGGAGGUUUUAUAGCAUAUUGUCAUUUAGCUCCUAGUUAGAAAGUAUAUAUGGAGGCAAGAGUGAAGCCUUUUUUACUCUUGUCAAUGCCUUUUUAAUUCUUAGUCUUGUUUGAAGACUUUCUAAUCUUCUUGUCUUUGAUAAUAACCAUUCUAGUUUAAUAUAUUACCAUCUUGAAGUGAUUUCUUAAACUUUUUGAAUGACACAAGAAUGUAUUGAGUUUCUCUUUCUUUGAGAUUCAUAUCUUUGAUACAUAGCACUAAAUACUAUAUUCUCUAGUGGUAGUGAGAUUCUAUCUUAUCUAAUUAUUGACUUAAGAUUAGGAGAUUGUGGUAUUGUAGCAACUGCCUCAAAUCUAGUAUAGGAUUUAUUUGGUGAGGGGCCAAAUAAUGAGUUAGCUUGAUUCUAUUUUAUAGAUAAUAGUUGAUCCGUUAUAUGAAAGGAGAGGAGAGAUAAUAGGGGGAUUUUGUAUAUUAUUGGAAUGUGAUGAAGAUUAUAUAUUUGGUUGUUAUACCUCUCUCUAAUUUAUUGAUUGGCUUGUUGAUGUCCAAAUUGGCCAUAUAUUGAUUGGUUCUAUGGUGGUCUAAGUCAAUGUCAAUGUCUUAUGUUUCUUUGUGUUGUUUGUUAUAGAUAGAGCCUUUUUCAUUAUAUAGAUACAUAGUCUAAGUCUUUUACUUUGUGCAUUGAUUUGAAUGACCAAACACUGUAACUUUGUAGUAGAGAGGUGUAUUUGGAGUCGGACCUAAAAGACUAAUCAUAUCCAAUACUUUGGUGAUAUUAUUUAUAAGUAUCUUAAUCCUAAGGCCUAUGGUCUUGCAUGUGUAUGAGGAUCCUUCCACAACAAACAAUAAUUGAUGCCGUAAUCUUUAGACAUUGUUUGUAUCUAAGAUAUUGGCUUAAUCCUAAGAGUUGAAUCCAUACCAAGUAGGUUACGAAUUUGUAAGUUUGCACAUUGGUUGCCAAAAAGUGUAGGCUUCAUGUGGUAAAGAAAUUCUCUCUUCUCUCAAAUCUAUAAGCCAAUGAGAAGGCUUGUUGUACCCCUUCUAUCAAAUCUAUAAGCCAAUGAGAAGGCUUGUUGUACCCCUUCUAUCAAAUCUAUAAGCCAAUGAGAGGGCUUGUUGUACCCCUCUAGGAAGGUAAAAGUGAUUUCAAAUAAUCAUCUCCCAAUUAGGGAACAAGACCAAAUCCAAUUGUAUAAGGUUGAGAAAGCCCACUCUUUCAAUGUGGCUUGCCCUGGACUUUUGCCAUGGAUAAAUUCCACGGGCAGAGCUGCAGUGUCUGUUCACGAAUCGCAUAAUAAUGAAAAGUUCCUCAUCAGAAAACGUCACCUUUAUAUGUCAGUAUUGCAUGUCGACUGGGCUGCAUUGUCCCUAAUCCUUGGAUUUUGAGGAGCAGGUUGCAUGGGCGUCUGGCCGAUACUACUACAUUCUCCUCCAUAUCGAUCGAAAAAGUAUGCUCUCGCUUAUUUUGGAUUGGCGAAGUGUGAUCUAGUAUAGGGGCGUUGCUCAGCCAUCAGGGGAGCAGCACCCUUAGCUAUUGUCAUUGGUGCCUCACAUUCACACAAAAAUGGUCAUUGCACGUUGGUUGUAUGAGGCAGGGGUGUAGUCGAGACCUAGUCCUGUAAACUAGAUAUUUAUAACCAGCUGCUAAUAUUACAUUAAGAGAAGACUAGAGCGUUGCUAAUCUAAACCUAUUCGCAAUCGUGUCGCCCCCAUCGCUUCCGCUCCGCCUCCACUUCUCUCCUAACCAUCUCACUCUAUCCGCUCUACCAUCUUCUCCACUUCAUCAAGCUAAAUCUUCCAUAUUUCCUUAUACAAUUCAAGAUAUUUCCAACUUCUCACACACUCCAAUAACAACCAUGUUUUCAUUCAUAAAAAAAACUGGAUGUGUAUGUGUGCACAGAUAUCUUUACACACACACAUUUUUCGUGCAGGAAAUUGCUGAAUUGAAGGGAUAUUCGGAAGGAUUGGGGUACAUAUUCUAAGGAAUGUGCAUCAGUUGUGCGUGGAAAGCUUGCUUCGGGAAGGAUAUCUGCUUUGCUUGAAGUCUGUUUUCAGUGGAUCAUUAGAAUGUGUAGAAUAUAAACACACGUAUUCUGGCCACAUUUUUGUUCUGUUUUUUUAAUGUUGCUUUUAUGUUUCGAAUGAGGUGAAAAUUCUGUGUAUCCAACUUCUGGAUGGAAAGUGAGUUGGGGUGGUUUUUAGAAUAGUCGGUCGAGGAUUUACAAUUGGGGAUAAGCUGGUGUCAGUGAUCAGAUUUGGCUUCCACAGAGGACGAGGCUACAUGCCGUUAUGUACGUGUUACAAUAGUGCGAGGAAUCAGGGAGUUACUAUGUGAAAAUUCACAAAAAUGGAGGGGUCGGACUUCGUAACGAAAGAUGGUGCUCAGAAUUAUUAAUGCAAUUUCCUUGCUUGCCCCUGAAUACCAUGAGGUCACCUUGUAUUAUUUGGAUGGAAUACACAUGAAUAGUUUCGUCUGUGACAACAAUCGCAGUAGCGGAGAUGCUCAACCUGCUGAGAACAUUCGAUACAACACCCCACAUUGACUUCUCAAACACCCAUACCUAGACUUUUACGCCUCAGGGUAUUUUAUCUUGCCAAUUAGUAAAGCUCCUGAACUCUCCAGUUAAUUCAAUUACUGAUACAAAAUGUACAUAGUGCUCAGCUUAAAAGUUAACUGUAAUUACUUUUUUUAGCUUGUCAACCUAGAAGCUGAAUCUCAAGUUCAUUAGCUGUUGUAUUCUUCACAAGUCCAGCACGAAAUGAGUUAAAGUGAAGCUCUGGAGUACUUGCAAUGACCCUGGCACAUUUACUGUUAGGAUUUGAGCAGGGGGGUUUCUAAAAUUGAUGCGGAUCCUUUAGGAGGAAGAGAGGAUCAAAUUCUGGCAGUAGAAUUCUGCGUUGUCAGAGAUUAACAGCAAGAGUGUUAUCGACCCUACUCGCAAAGUUGCCAUUGCUGGCUCUCAGUCAUCAUCACUGUCAUCAAUGUUCGCGAAGUCCUGCAACAUGCGACUUUCCAACAUGGCUGCCUUGAUCUGGCGGAGCUCUGCAAUGUCUUGCCACAAGCGGCUAUCGUUAACCAGCUUGUUCUCGGCCAACGACGCGCGGCAGCCUGCAAGCCACCAAAAUGGCGUUUUAAUAGAGUAAAUUAAACUAUGUCUGAAGCUUGUGACCGAAUUGAAAAACAACCAGGUUGAGAGAAUGAUCCUUCUCAGCCUCGUCACACACACAAACACACACAAGUUGUUGCAAAAUUUGUUUGUGGACCUGAAGCUGCGCAGAGGCAAACGUCAUCUUUCCUCUUUGUUGCAAUGUAGUUGAGAGCUGCAGCUCGGUCGUAGAUGUGUUCACAAUCUUCACUGAAUCAACAUCAAUAAAAAAAAAAGCAUCCAAAUUGUCUCAUUCUCGGAUCCUCCCCAAAAAUUCUAUACUGAGGAAUAGUUUUAGGUUGAUGGACUCACUUUCUCACCAAUAAUUAGGAGGAAGGUAAAUUACAAAACCAAGAAAACUUGACGUGAAUUGGAAAAAAGUUGCAACCUUCGAACUGGGUCUACGAGAUCAACCACUGGAAUCCCGCAGAUUGGGCAGACAAUAUUUAGCGAUGAAUAGAAGGAGUUUGUCAUGUACACAUCACUUGCAUUCCCCUCGUCUAUCUGUUUCACUGCUUUUCGGCAACACUGCAUCCAGCAGAAACAAAGAUAUGAAGUGAGUAGGAAAUUCUACAAUAGAGUAGGAGAUCCUUUUACAUAAAUCACCUCCGCAGAUGAUUCGCUUCUGAACAUCCCUGGACGACCUAAACACAGAUGAUAUGAGCAAACUAGAUAAGAAUAUGAUUCAUAUGCACUAAACCCUGCUUAAAUUGAAUAAGUUACAAUGACGACCAACUAGAUCCUAUUCAGAGAACACAGAUCGUAAAAUUCUUCAGAGUACAAACGAAGAAGCAUUUCUGAGUCUCACCAGACACCCUCCGCUCCCCUCACGAUUCGUAUACGCUUGAGGCCCCGUAAAUUUAUCUUCAGCCAGAUCUGUCAUUCCAUUGUUGAUAUUCAAGGAUUUAGAAAGAGGCUUCUUAUCAACUCGUAGGCUUGAGUCUGGCUUGCAAAUUGCUAUCCCUGCAAGACUGUUGAUCACACCAUCCAUGGUGGCCCUCACUUGAUCGGCUUCAAUCUGGUCCUUCUCAGUUGCGUCGAUAUUAGAUGCUUCCCCCAAUGCGCAACCCGCGUACAUAAUCUCCUCCUCCUCUAGUCGUUUCUUCAACUCCACAAAUUCGAAAUGCUUCCUAGCCCUCACCUCGUCAUCUUCUUCCAUAUCAACUCCAUCAAGGACAAACUUGACAUGAAAAUCAUCAGGAAUUGUCUGCUGCCGCUCUGUUAAGUCACUCAUCUCGGAGGCUUCCUUCUUCACAAGUGCCGGUUUCCGCUCCACACACACUCCUUCCACAUCCUUGAGCUCCUCACUUCUCCUAAUCGCAGCAUCUGACUUGCAUGUAUUCUGAAAUAUUGAACUUUGAUCAAACUCGGCACCAUUCGUCAUUUGCUCCUCCAAGGUUCUAUCAUCGUGACUGAUGUCAGAGUGAUCCACUCUGAUCAACGGCUUGGAAAUCUGGAAACACUUAACUUCGUGCUUGAAAUGACCACUCUCCGUGAGUGGGGACUUAUCAGCAACUGCCUGCUGGUAUUUCGAUUCUUCGGAUCCAUGUAACGUAAGGCCUCUGAGCAAUGCCUUGUCACCCUCGUGUGCCAAUCGUAGCAUUUGAAGGCCAUCCCGGUCAAUCUCCAGCCUGUUAGUUUUCCCAUCUUUCUGAUUCGUGUCCGUGACGGACUCCUCCAUCUCUCCACUCACAUUUCUCAUUACUUUGGUUCGCUUCAGUCAACAGAGUAGGCACACAAUUUCCACCUUCCUUGCAAGAAAAUCCUUCAUGGGAAGAUAGUUUCCAUUAGAAAAAAGAAUAUGUUUCAUAGCUGCAUACAAUCAAGUCAGGUAUUAACUCCAAAUCCAUGAAGAAGUAAGAACUGUACAAAAAUUCUGGCCGAACAAGCUUCAUCAUAUUGACAAACAGCAGAUAGUCCAAACUGUUGAAUGCAGUGACUGAAUCUUCCCACUGAAUAUGGAAAGAGAACUGAAAGGAAAAGAAAAGAGACUGACAGAGACUGUCAAUAAGCUCGUGAUUAGUCAAGACACACUACCACGAUAACCCUGUGAUUCUGAUUAGGGACAAAACUUCGAAGAAUAAGAGUAUCAUAACAAACUGUUACUUCACACGAUCGAUUUCUAAUAAACAAAAACAAAUACCGACUCCAUACGUUCAGAACGGAGGGUGUACAUUCAACAGCCAUUGACGAUUCUCAAUGCUCAUUCUGCCUCUGCUUCGAUAAACAACUCAAAGCACAACAAACAAGGAAGCUGAUUCAUACAAGUAAGGAUGUCAUAACGGGGAGGCUCUACAUGAAGUGGAGGUGAUAAAGGCAGUCCAUUGACAAGUGAACACAAUCGCGGUUUUUGAAGAAUGAUAAAGAACUACAGGGACUAAGAAACAAACAAGGUAAGCCAGAUUCAUAAAGGUGCAAGGACAAAGAACUUGUACUAGGUUCAUGGAGGAAGGAAGUAAGGCCUUGAACUAGUAGUGUCCAUUGAAACCCAAGAGGUAGUCAGUCACAACCCCUACACGCCAAUCAACAGCAAAAUUUACGCUCCUCAUCCCUAGACACACGUGUGAUAAAACAUGUGUGUGUGUGUGUUGAUUCUACACAAAACCCACCUGCGCAUCUUUAUCUUCCAAAGCAUAUAAAUGCUCCAUGAAAUGCCGCAGCCGCUGGUAAUCCACCCACAUCAAGAACCCGAGCUCGGAAUCCAACCCCAUCGCAAGAGCCCACCCUGAAAACCUCCAAAAACAUGAUAAUGGGCAGCGAGGCUUUCGUGUCCGACGCAAUCGAUCAUGCAGAUGUGCAAUUCCCAAUCCAGACGAGGGUUCCGAGCAUGAGAGGAGGAGAGGUUCAUCCAGACGGUUUUCGCAUGCGCUCCCGUGUCCUCGAAAACCUUUGCUAAUUCCACCCAAAUCCAAUAUUCGAGAUUGCAUCCUCGCGACUGCUAACCCUCAUCCUCUUCCCACAAUUGCCGACCUCGUCUUCGCAGCACGGCAUCGAUUCGCUCUGCGAGUGACUGUGCAUGGUGUCGGUAUGAGCUGCGAAUCUUUGCGACCCGCCCAGUUCGGACAGAUUCACAAUGGCCGUCGCUUUCGCCGACAACGGAAAUGCUCGUCGGUCCAACGAGGGUUUCUUUUUUCUUUCGUGUCUUUUUCUUUUUGUAGUUUAAGUUGAGUUUCUUGCAGAUAUCGGCGUGUCCCUGGUUGUAAUAUUUUCAUCUUUUUCUUUUUCUUAUUUUUCCUUCUGUGUUUUGAUUUGGGAUGAAGUUAAAACAUUUGGCAACAACUGCUUGGAAUGUGGGUUAAUUUGAUGGGUGCUGAUUAUACACAACUUUACUUUUAUUCUUUUGUUGUGGAUUGAAUUUCAUCCCAACUUUCUCAGGAACUGAAUAUAUGCAUUAUGUAUACAAAGUCUUCAUUUAUAUAUUCAGUUCCUGAGAGUUUUAUGUAUUUUUAAAGAAAAGUAUAUUAAAAAAUUCAAAUUAAGACUAAGCCUUUUAAAACAUACAAGUUAAUACACAAACAUGCUAAUGAUCUAAUGGAAACUGUACCAAAGCAUGAAUAAAUUUGGCAGUUUCAAGACUCAAAAGGCAUAUCAGAAUAUUGUUUCUACUUGAACCGGCUAAAAAGCUCUAAAGGUUUUUGAACGACCAUAAAAAUCCCGUACCUUUCUUUUCUUUUUUAUCAUUGAGCGCUUUUGAAAAAGUUUUCAGAUCAAAAAUUAAUUUUCUGAAAAAUAUCAUCACCAGAUAUAUCUAGAGUGCAUCUUUGUGUGAAGAAAUAUCUUGAAAGGUCACUAACAAUUUUACAUACGCCUUUAGAAUAUUCUGUGCUUGCGUGACAAUAAAAAUAUGAAUUUCUUCGAACAAGACUGGAGAGCAAGCACAUUCUAUAGAACUGAUAUUUUUAAGAAAAAAAAAUCAAAAAACAAAAAAUCAAAAAAUCAAAAAAAACAAAAAACAAAAAACAAAAAAUCAAAAAUCAAAAAUCAAAAAAAUCAAAAAUCAAAAAUCAAAAAAUUCAAAAUACAUAUAUGUAUGUGUGUAAAUUUUUUAUUAUUACUAUUACAUAAAUCAUUCUGUUUUCAUCAAUAUAUAUAUAUAUAUAUAUAUAUAUAUAUAUAUAUUCCUUAUUUUUUUUAGUUGAAUUACCAAUGUUAUCAUUAAAAUCUGGGGGGGUUUCAAGUAUCUCAAACAUUAUUCCAACAAAAAAAUUUCUUUACAAAUUAAAUGGUUGCAUAGAAAUGUUUAAAAUUUGAAUGAUUUAUAACCUUAUGUUUUUAAACUAUCAUUAAUAUGAUUCAUGUGUAAUUAAGUAACUUAUGUAAAUAGUAACUUAAAAAAUUAAAUUUUUAUAUUAAAAAAACUACUAAUUUGUUGAAAUAUUAUAGUAUAUAUUCAAUUGAAUGCAAUCUUAUUUCAAAACUACAUUUUUAUUACACAAUCUUUUUGAAGAAUAUGCUUUCAAAUUCAUCUAUAUAGAAAAAAAAUAGUAAUAAAACAAAAUAAAUAACAAAGUAGACUAAGAAAGAUUGCAACUUCUUUUUAACAACUGCAUAUGCAAACAGAUUUGUUUAUACGUAUAUAUACACUCUCACUAUUUUAAUCAUUUUCUAGGACAAAAAAUUAUUUGUUUUAAAACUGUUUGUGAUGCAUUAAGUAGUUUUUAUGAUAUAUUUAUUUUCUUUUGAAUAUAUCGAGAAAAUAUUUGAGAAGUUGUAAUGAAGAAGGCAAUUUAAAACUAAAAUGAAUAAAACAAAUAUUUAACAUUGGUAUAUAUUUAGUGAUGUCUUCAAAAAGAUAAAAUAUCUUAACUUUUACUACAUCAUUUGACAUCUUACAAAUUAUACAUAAGAAAUUUUGAAUUUCAUCUUACAUGAAUAUAUAUAGUUUUUUAUACUUUUUAAAAUUUUAAAUGUUAAUUGAAAUCACACCAUUCAGGAAAUAAUUUAUUGAUGAGUUUCAUAAAUAAUCGGAUUGAAAAAAACUCAAACUAAAAGAUCUCAUGUGUAUUAAAAAUUAUAGAAACAUCAUUAUCUUGGAGUCCACCCACAGUAUGUUUUCGUGUGGAUUUCUCAAAAUUCUCUUCAAAGUACACAAAACUUAUUGUAAAUAUAACUCAAGGUCUACAUCCUAACUACAAUUUUUUCUCCUUUACAUUGAAAAUUACAAUAUCAAAAUAAUUAAUUGUUUCUUUUUCGUCCAAAUAUGACCAAUUGAAAGUGAAUUUUAAAAUCUGGAAAAAAGCAUCAAGAAAAGUUAAUCAAUUAAAAAAAUGCUAAGUUGUUUUUGUAUGCAUAAAAAUUUACACAAAUCCAAACUUUAAGAUAUAAAAAGUAUAGAACCGAGUAAAACUUCCAGAAGAAAAACAAACAUAAAAAUGAAUGACAUAUUUCAACUUCAAACCCAACCAACCCAAAAACUAUGCUUAUUUCAAAACUUUAAAGUAAAAGGAACUCUGUUAUUUUCAACACUAUGGAGGAAUGUCAAAAAGUAAAAAAGCAUACACACGUUGGAAAGCUUUAAAGGAAAAGGAACAUAGUCCAAUGGAUGGAGAAUCUCAAUGUUAGGGCCACCAACGUGGCGGCAUAUUUUCCUCAUCCAACUGCCACGUAGGCGUCCAUCUUAGAAGCCACUUCCUGAAUGCAUGGUGAUGACCAACGGGUCCAGUAUCUAUGACGUCAUGUUUACGUCAUAUUUACGUCAUGAGAUAUGACGGAAUCCGGGGUGGAGGGGUCAGGUGGAGUCUCCCACGUGCGCCACGUGGUUCUUCCAGGGCCGUUUCUGGCCGUCAAAUUUGCCAGGGGUCGACGAAGGCGACACGACCCCCAUCCACUGUUUUCAUCCGUCUGUCCCUCCACAUUCGUCCACGACGUUCGUUCAUCGCAUCAUUUGCACACCCUGGUUACAAGACGUUUGUUUUUAUAGAUUUCUGACAAUCAACGCUUUUAGGAACAUUCUAUGAUUAAUUUCUUACCAGAAAAUGAAGUAAAAGAAAUAAACAAAUAAAUAUAAUUUAUAUUUAUAUAUAGAUAUUUUCACUAUUUAGUUUUUUUUUUUUGGUAGAAGAUGAUGAUUUAGUUUUAAUCUUGAUUUUGUUUUUAAAAUGAAAUCUAUAAUAACAAAAUGAUUUUGUUUUAUAUUUUGAAUUCAUGGUUGAUUCGAAUUUUAUGACUAAAUUCAACUUAUAUUUUAUACGUAUAAAUGAAUAAAAAGUACGAAAAAAGUUAUUAGUUAGUUGUUUGGGAUUGCUCAAGUUUUUUAAUGAAAAAUUUCACAUGUCCUUUUCAUUGUACAAACAUGGAAACAAUUUGUUUUUCUACAAAAUAAUUGAAUGAAGAAAAUAAUUUAGAAACAAGAUAGAUGGCAGGAGAAAUAUUUUAUUCAAUUUGCUGAGUCAUCUUUCUUAGUACAAUUUUGUUGGGACAUUUGCCAACGUAAAAUUAUGGACAUUCAUGUCAAUCUUCUAUCGUGGAUUGAUUGCAUAAUUUAGCCCAGAUGCAAACUUCUCAAGAUGCCUCAAAUUACAACAAUGCAAAAUUAUUAAGAAAUAUUUUUCAAACUUCAAAAAGAGAGCAAGAUAAAUUGACAAUGAUCUUUAAUAUUUUUGUAGGAAGAUAUGGAGAAUUCUGAAAUAGCCAAUAAUAAUAAUAAUAAUAAUAAUAAUGAAAAAUAAAAUAACACAUUAUAAAUGUAUUGGAAUUUUGACAGAAAAAGGCUUUGUCAAUGAAUGUAUGUGUGUAUAUAUAUACUCGGCAUACCUAAAAUAUCAUACCUUGACAAACUUGUAAUCUUGAAUUUCUAAAAAUGAACUAUAUCAUAAAAAUAGAUUAAUUCAUUUUCAUUUUGAAUUCAUUAAAAAUGAGUGAACUUUGAUAGUAGAGAAAACUGAAAAACUGUUAAUAUUCUCAGCAAUCAUAACUUUAAAAUGAGUUUGCAAACAUGAAUUAUUCACAGUAACAUUAUAUUAUAAUAAUUAUAUAAAAGUGCAAUAAUUUGGGGAAAAUAAUUUAGUAAUAGAUCUGUUGCUUAUAAAAGUUCCUUCGACUUGAUUUCCAAACUGUUAGGUAAUUCUUUAUAUUAAAUUAUUUUUUAUUGAUAUUCUAAAAAAAGCAUGUUUUUUAAAUGAUAAAAAGCUGUAUUGAAUAUUUUAGAAAAAAUAUGGUAACAUUUAAAUAAGACAAAUGUUCUAUAAUAUUUGUGGAAAAGAAAUGAAACGCAUUAGAAUAGUAAUUCAAGAUUUCGAGAAAUUUUGGGAACCAUGAGAUUAAUUAGCAAAAAAUAUCUUAUUGAUCGUCUAAGAAGAAAAUAAUAAAUUUAACUCGAAUAACACCAUCCAUAAUAGAAAACUUUUAAAAAAUCUGAACCUUAUUCAAAUGAUCUUUAUACCUAAUAAAACCUAUUUUUUUUUUACUUCUUCAAUAAACUUUAUUGAAUGUUCCCAUGAAGAUUAUCUUGGUUCUUCCACCACAUUUUUUAGAUUAAUUUGAAUAAUUCUUUGCAAUGAUUUAUUUCAGUAUUAGUUUAAUUUUGAUUUAUAUAUUGGUGAUUUCUCAAAUACCAGCACAGGUGCAGAAAUAAUGAUGGAGUAAAUUUAAAACUUCUACAUCAAACUAAAUUUUAAUACUCACCAUCAAAGUGUAGAAAUUUGCCUCAAAGAAUUAUUUUUCUUUUACCAGGAUGGAAAUAAAAAGAAUCCUUUAAUGAGGAAAUAUCCUUUUUGAGUAAUGAAUUAAUAUCUGAUACCUACUUAUUGCUAUUUGAUUUAUUUUGAUUUCAAUUUUUAUUAUCAUCUGAAAAUCAUGAAUUGGUAUAACCGUCAAUCUUCAUCUAUUUUUUAUUCACAGUCAAAGAAACCCAUAAAUGCUAAAACUUGUACAAAAUAUCAUCAUAUAAUAAUUGGCCUAGUAGAAGACUGUCAGAUUCAUUCUAUUGGUAUAUUUAUUUUUUGAAAUUAUUAUGUAAUACUUUAAUAUAAUUUCAAACCUUAAAAAUGAUUUAUUUGUCUUAAUAUUUUACACAUGAUAAAAUUCGAUUAUACUAAGUAUACUACUUGUGUUUAUAAAUCUUCAAACUUUCCUUACAGUUGAUAUGCUGGAAAGAUAAUCAACUUAUGCACCAGCUUAGCAAUCCAAAAUUGGCAAAUUUGUUUUCAUAGAUAAGACUAAAACAACUCAAAUAAAUGUAAUACAAUUUUUUUAUAUAAUUUUAUAGGAAACAUCUUUUCUUACGUACACAAGCUAUUUGGGUUAUUUCUUAUCUCAAUUGUGACUCUGACAUGUCCAUUCCAAAUCCAUAUUAACAAUAUACAUUUUGGUUAACAUAUCUUGAAGUUGCUAUUAUUAAAAAAUGAUAUAGUGUAUACUUUAAUUAGUAAAAACAAACAUACAUAUGUGUGGUUCUUUUGUAUUCCUCUUUCUAAAAUUAAAAUAUCUUUUAAAAAAUUUAACGUUUGAUUAUUUACUUUUAAAACUUGAUAUCCUUAAUUCAAAUUAUUAAUUAUUCCAUCAUUAUAAGAAAGAAUGUUCUUUUAUGUUCAUUGAGUAUUUGUAUUGUUCUACAAUAGCACCAAAACAUCAAUCAGCCUAAAAAUCAUUUAUAAAUGUUUUUACACAAAAGAAUUUUGAAGAAAAUGAAAUUUUAAUUAAAGAACAUAAAGGAAUGUGACAGUUCAAUUGUUUUAAAAUAUAAAAGUAUAGGUAGGAAGUUUUGUGAUACAACUAUUAGUACACUUGACAUGCUUUGAAUAACCAGAGUUAGAAGGCAACAUGUAUAUCUUCAAUUACCCAUAUUAAGAUUAAAUAGGGAUAUAUAUAUAUAUAUAUAUAUAUAAGAAUAAAUUUGUGACUCAUGAAGUAUUUUGUUUAAUAUAUAUAUAUAUAUAUAUAUAUAUAUGAAUUCAAAUUCAAAUUCAUCCAACCUCAAUCAGUUUGCAUUGUUUAAAACCUCAACACAUAUAUUCCAAAUUCAAAUUCAAAAUCCAAAUGCAAAAAUGCAAAAAAAAAUCCAAAAUAUGCAUCCAACAUAGUUUCAAAGAAUGUAACAAGAAAAAAAAUCAAAAUCUAUAUGUUGGGUUCAUAAAACAUUAUUAUAUAUAUAUACAUAUAUAUAUAUAUAUAUAUAUACACAUACUCACAUAGAGAAAUGUUAAAUAGACCCAUGCUUUUACUAAAUAGACCCACCCUUCAUAAAGAAUAUGAUAAUCAUGAUGAAUGUGGUUAAUUUUCAUUGGUUGCAAAUCUAAUUGUGGAGAAAUGAAUCUAGAUGUCAUUUAUUUUCUUUUCAUAAUGAUUUGGAUGGGUGGGUAAAUAUAAUAAAAAUUUGGGUGUAUUCAACAUUCUCAUCUACACAAUAAAAAAAAAAACAGAUAUAUAUAUAUAUAUAUAUAUAUAUAUAUAUUAUAAUAUUAAAUUUUAUAUAAGACCUCAGUCCGAAUUGUUCCAGAUAAAGACAUUUUGAAGUUGCUAUCCUAUCUAUGAAAAAUAAAAAGAAAAAGAAAAGAAAAGAAUUAUGGUGCAUCAAAAGGACGUGGAACUCAUUCAAUGAGCUAUCCAAGCCGAUGACAGAAAGUAUUGGCGGCAAUACUACUUUAAAGUAAACGCAAUUUCCAAGGGACGCUUUUAAAGGAGAACCCAAUAGCGAAGCGUCAUGGGGUGGUGGCAGGCUCCGGUGGAUGCGAUCGAGCUGGAAAAGUAACUGAAAAGUAAGACGAUAGCCCGACGAAAAAAAGCAAUUCCCGUCGAUUUGUGUCCGCCGACAGUCGCCGUCAGGGCCUCCCAAGGGGGCAAAUGUGGAGGUCUGUCUUGCUUUCAAAUGCUCCGCUUCACUUGAAGCAUCCCUCACAUUGCCAUAGCUACGCUACGACUGAUGAGAGCGAGCUUGCAACUGGUUCAAGGUUGCUCUCGGAGUAACUAAUGCUGCUCUCUGUGAGCCCCCCAGUGUGAUUUGUGGAGCCUUCGUUGGAAUUUUCGUAAAGCAUCGAAGAAUUGUGAGAAGCUCCCCGGUUUCGAUGUAGUGCGAAGGCUGGCUGUGAUUUUGAAAUUGGCGUUCCGUUGUAUUUUUUGUAUCGUGGUCUCGGGAUUUUUGAGUUGAGGAGUUGAGUGAAGUUAGCAUGGCGUGCUUCAGCGGGUCUUGGGAGAUUGUUGUCGGGCAAGGUUUGUGCUACAGGGAAACGAUUAUUGCUUCAAUUGAUUUUCUGUAGCGCUGUUGCUUUGCACGCACGGGUGCUCGUUGCUUUGUUCCGCCCUCGUGCUGUUUUGAUUUUCGAACGGUGUUUUUUUCGUACGUGUCUCUGAUUGGUGUUUCAUAUUUCACACGUUGUGUCACAUUCGCUGCAUCUGCUUCCAGUGGCUCUAGAGAGUCGGCUUGCGUGUUCACGCUCCUUUUUUUUUUUUUUUUUCCACCUCUCCCUAUAGCCGAUUUAAGUUGUAAGUAUUCGAUUUUUUAGAAGAAGAUAGAUGACGCAAAAAGAAGGAUCAUCGUUACUUGCAAGCCUCGGCGCGGCGUUCAACUUGCAGUUCUCGCUGCUUCGCAGCAACUCCAACAAUGUGGCGUCCAAGCAGCACCCCUUGUUGCAGGAAUUUGAGAACCGACUCAGCGAUAGCUUGGACUCGUUGAAGCCUGCCUGUGAGGAGAAAGGCUACUUGAGCAUCCAUUGGCUGCUUCAAGCUAUGUCUGUCGUUCUGGCUACGCAUAUUAACGUUGAGGCUCUCAUUUCAGAGUCUCAACUUACCUUGUGUCUUCAGAGAGACGACAAAUGGUUAAACGAAUAUCUUGACGACAGCGCCAAGCUUCUGGAUGUUUGCAACGUCCUGAAGGAAGGGAUAAGUGAGGUAGAGCAGUACCAGAUGUCGGUGCAGCGUGCUUUGCACAAUCUUGACAACAGGGAAAUCUCGUGCGAGUUUAAGUAUUCGCGAGCGCGGAAUUCUUUGAGUGAAUGCAAGGAAGCUAUUAAUAGGAAAGACACAGUAUACAGGCAAGGGUUUCCCAAAUCUAAGCUGGAGAAUUGCAGUUCCAUGUUGAGAAAUAUGGGAGAGAAGCUUGUGAAUCCGAAGGGGUUAGAGGCCAUUAGAGGUAAUGGAUUCUUGAACGCGAUCUAUGGAGCUAAGGUGACGACGAUUUUCUUGUGCGGAUUGCUGGUCACUGCUCUGACAUGUAAACCGAAGCGGCCUCUGUCAAGUCUAAGCGUAGCAAGCCACUACAAAUGGUCACCAUCUUUAAUCUCCUUGCAGCAGCGAGUGAAGGAGGACACCGAUAAAAGAAAAAACAAAGGUUCCAUUGCGUUGCUCCGCGAGCUUGACAGUGUCGACGCCUCUGUGCGUCGUCUGCAUGGAAUUUUGGAUCAAUAUUUGAGCGGAAGAGCCUUUCCAUUGUCACAGGAGCAAGCACAAGAGUUGGCUCUGGAUGUGGACGAGUUACGAAAGCAUUCUUCGGAUCUUGGACAAGGGUUGACACCGUUGGAGGGUCACGUAAAUGAGCUCUUCAGAAUGUUAAUUGCUAGUCGGCUGGCCUUACUUGACAUCAUCAGCAGCUCAAGAACUUAAAGGAAGGCGUUAUUGCAUCAUAUUGUGAACUUGGUCUUCCACUAAUCUCAACUCACGGCCUCUCAUGUCCUCGUGCCAAUGGGUAUGUUGCAACUCAUUGGAAGGUAAAGUUGCCUGUCGUGCAAGUGUAAAGAUUAAUUUCUUUACAAAUUGUCAAAAGUAUCCAGUGAAGGCUUGGCCUUUUGGCAGUCAAUUCUCCUGCGGUAAUCAAUAUCCAUGGAUAGUGAAUGUAGAUACAUAGUGACAAGAGAAAAUUAUGCGUAAAAUAUCAUAAUAUCAUUAUCAUACAUGUGUGUGUGUGUGUGUGUGUGUGUGUUUUUUUUUUUUUUUUUUUUUUUUUUUUCCUUGAUUAAAAAAAAAAAACAAAAACAAAAACAACAACAACAACAACAAUACUGUAAUGAUAGUACGUGUAGAGAGCAGGUUCUGCAGUUGUAAGUAAAAUUUUGAUCGAUUACAUUCAUGAAGAGUGUUGUCGGGGAUUUCGAUCCUUAAUCAAGGUUCGUAAUCGUCUACUAUGUACUUGAGUUUCUGUUUGCAUUAUGUGCGUUUCCCCGAGGUUUUCCUGUCAUUAUUUACUCGGACUCAGUUAUUGGAACUUGUCACAUCUGUACCGUAGUGGCAUGGUACUUCCAUCUCGACUUGCAAGGGUUCGGGAUUCGCAAUGGUUUUCAGGAUAUUUUGGUGCUGUAGAAAAUUAUUCUCGGGUACAUUGUAAACCGAAACAAUGAAGUUUUGGUGUAUCCGACUAAACUUGUUACCCAUUGAUUGUUAGCAGCCAUUGAGGCUCACAAUCUGAGGUUUGAUUCUCCUUGCCACUAUCAUCAAUGAACUAUUAAACUUUUUUUUCUUUUUUUCUUUUUUUUUUCUUCCCAAAUUGCACAGAUCGUAAAAGUUCCUUAUUGAUGACUAGGAGAUGCUGAUAUGCAUCAAGAGUCAAGGUUAAGGUCAAUUUGAGACUACUGAAAGAUCAAAUCCAUUCUUCCAAUUGAAUGAGGCAUCGGAGUUAGCCUGAUUGGAUGUGAAAAUAUGGUCGGAAUCGAUUAAAAAAAUAAAAUAAAAUAAUUCUUACUCAUGCAUAAAUGAAAGUGCAAUUUAGAUGAGUUCUAAAUUCAACAUAAGUAUAUGUAAUUGGAAAUUGUGUAUAAAAUAGAUUUUUAUUUAUAAUUAGUUGAUUUAUAAAAUCACAUAAAUAUAUGUGCAAACUAUGUAUGUAUAUAUAUGUAGAGAGAGAGAGAGAGAGAGAGAGAGAGAGAAUUGUACCUCUCUUAGUCAAAAUGAUCCAUAGCUAAGAAUUUUAUUGAGUAGUGGAGGUUAUUGAGUUUUGAAGUUCCUCUAUAAACCUAAUAGCAUUAAAAAAAAAAGAAAAAAAAGAAAUCAAGGUAUAGGAGAUCAACUUAGGGAGGUAUAACUAUAUGUAAAAUUUGAGCUAAUAAAAAAUAUUAAUAAAUUAUUUUAUUUUUGAAAUUUUCUAUUAUCUCAAAUAUUAAUAAUAUUGUUCAUAGAUAUAAAUUUAAACUUGUGAAUAUUAUAUUAUAAAUUUAUUUAAAUUUAUUUAACUUAUAAUUGUUUCUAAGAUAAAAUGUAUAGUAUAUUGAAAAGGCUAGUAUUCAAAAUAUAAUUUAUAAUAAGUUAUUUGUAUAACAAAGUCUGGAUGUGUUUGUAGUAUUCUAAAACUAUACCACAAACCAAAACUAUGUUAAUAAUGUAGUUGCAUAUUACAUCUCUUUUGCAUUGCAGUUUUAUAAUUAUGUGUGUUAUUGUUCCUAUUUAUGUAUGUAAUUUGAAGUUUUAUUUGUUUUUCAUGUACAUCUUUUAUUACUUUAAAUUUAAUCUGAUUUUUGUGUAGUAUUUAAUGAAGUAUGUUUGUGUGUUUCUUCACUACAUUACUUACAGUAAAUUAUGUUAUUUUACACCGUUACCUCACUUCAACAUAGUACUCCCAAAACACAGAAAAAGUCCCCAUUGCUAGUAUUUACUUGCAUAAAUAUAUAAUUUAUUACUAUUUGAAGUAAUCAAAUUUAUUAUUUUAAUAUAAAAAUAUCAUAAACUAAUUAUUAAAAAAUAAGAAAUAAUUUGGUCUCUGAUCAUCUACAAAAUUGAACAUUCUGGAUGCAUUUGGUCUAAUUUUUAUCACCUUUCUUAUAAUUAUCUUUUCUGUUGUUCAAAAUACUCCAAAAUUAUAUUUAAUUUUUUAAAUAUCCUUGUCAAAGUAAUCUUUAAGUUAAGUUUUCAAAUAUUGAUAAUAAUAGCAAUAAUAAUAAUAAUAAUAAUAAUAAUGUUUUCUUAACUUUUGCUUUGAAAUUUUGAAAGGAAAUAUUUUAUAAAAAAAGCACCUAAUCUCAAUGCUGUUAUUUGGUUUCUAAAAUUCCACAUAUAUAUAUAUAUAUAUAUAUAUAUAUUAUUGAUAUUUUUAAUCACACAUUGUAAUUUUUUGUCGUUGUUUUAUGCUGCACUAUACAAGUAGAACAAUAUUGUUGGAGAUUUUAAAUAGCAUUUUUAAAUAUUAGGAUUUCAAUGAACCUUUUUCUCUCAAAAUAUUCUAAAUUUUUGAUGAUCUAAAUGUAACAUAGAAUGCUUUUCAAAAUUAAUAUCAAAUUACUGUUAUUUAAAAACAUGGAGAUGGUAAUUCAAUUUUUCGUAUUGCUUCAAAUACUAGGAAUAAUCUAAAUAGCAUACAACACACAUAAUAUAAAUAAUGUGUUACUAAAUUACAGUGAAAAAACUACAAGUAUAACUUUACAGGCAAAUGAUUAUGUAAUUCCAAAAUGUAACAGUAUAAGAUGCAAAAUUUGAAUUGAUGAGUAAUACUAAUUUGUUCUUAUUUUAUAUUAUAUUUUUUGAUAUUGGUGGCAUUAUGAUGUGCAAUCCUCACAUACUGAGAAAAUAUGAAAGAUUUAAAUAUAUUUUUAAUAAAAUUUAAAAAUAGUAUGUAUAUUGUAACUUUAAAAAAAACCAAAGAUGAAAAAUUUAAAAUAGCCAUUCAAAAUUAAAAUUAAAAAAACCCAAUAAAACCCAAUAAAAGCAAAAGGAGGGGACAAAAUAAUCAUCAAAUUGAGUGCGAUUAUUUGACAAAUCUGAUUUUGAAUUCUACUACUACUACUACCACAAAAAAGAAAAAUUCGAAGUACUAAUCUCAAUCUAAUAUCAAAAUUAAUAUGUAACAAAAUAUAAAACAAAAAAUUAAAUUAUUUUGUGUACAAGCUGGGAUCCAAUGUUGAUACUGGAUGAAUUUAUUUUCCUCAUCCAUAUUCAAACUCAUCCACGACAAUUACGCCAACCUCUGUACAUCCAAGAGACAGGGAGAUGCUCUCCUCACCCAUCCAACGGGCGGUGUGAAAGGGUCCAUUGGUUUUAGGGUUUAGCAUGUUAUGGAAGGGCAGAACCGGGUCGCGGUCGCAUUUGUGUAGCGCACUCACAAUUUCUGGCUGCUCGCGAUGGCCGCUCAAGCCAUGCACGCGACGCAGAUGCGAGCUGCCGUUGUGCCGUCUUUGAGCAAUGUGCAGUGCCCGACGAGAACCUCCAGUGCUGCCUGUCUUUUGAGGUCCUCAGGAAGCUUGCGCGUGGAGAAUGCCGGGCAUCAGCUGAGGAUUAGUUCUAAGCAGAGCAGCAAGCAGGGGAAGGCGGCGGCGGCUCGGGGUUGCAGAGCGGCGGUGUCGGACUUCGCUGCGGUGCAGCAGCAGGAAGCCAAGCAGGUAGCAUCGCAGAUUUCUGCCUUUUCUGUCCGAGAGGAUGGCUACAUGUACUGCGAGGACGUGCGGGUGCAGGACAUCAUGGACAACGAGGUCGAGGAGGUGCGGCCGUUCUAUUUGUACAGCAAGAGGCAGCUGCGGAGGAACUACGAGGCUUACCAGGAGGCGUUGAAGGGAUUGAACUCCAUUAUUGGAUACGCCGUGAAAGCCAACAACAAUUUGAAAAUCAUGCGGUGCUUGCGGGAGCUCGGAAGCGGUGCUGUGCUCGUGAGUGGCACCGAGUUGCGUCUUGCGGUGGAGCAUACCGGCUUCGAUCCCGCCAGGUGUGUUUUCAAUGGGAAUGGGAAGCUCUUGGAGGAGUUGGAACUCGCGGCUCAGUAUGGUGUGCUUAUCAACGUGGAUAGUGAAUUCGACCUGGCACAAAUUAUCGAGGCCAGUAGGAACACUGGAAAAAGAAUUAAGGUGUUGCUGCGCAUCAAUCCUGACGUUGAUCCCCAGGUGCAUCCGUACGUUGCAACCGGUAACAAGAAUUCGAAAUUUGGAAUUCGCAAUGAGAAGUUGGGGUGGUUUCUGGAGGAAGUGAAGAAGCACUCUGAGAAUCUUGAGUUAGUGGGAGUGCAUUGUCAUCUUGGGUCAACCAUUACGAAGGUUGAUGUGUUUCGAGAUGCAGCAGUUGUGAUGGUUGAUUUUGUGAAAAAAAUUCGUGGCGAGAACUUCACAAUUAAGUACUUGAAUAUUGGAGGUGGCCUUGGCAUUGACUACUACCACAAAGGCGCCAUCCUACCCACUCCGACGGAUCUCAUUGACACAGUUCGUGACCUGGUGACAAAAGAAGGUUUAACGCUUAUCAUUGAGCCUGGGAGGUCUCUAGUUGCCAACACCUCGGCGUUCGUGAGCCAUGUGACUGGUGUGAAGACGAAUGGAACGAAGGACUUUAUUGUCAUUGAUGGAAGCAUGUCAGAGCUGAUCAGGCCUAGUCUGUACGGUGCCUAUCAACAUAUAGAAUUUGUCGCUCCCCCCGCUGAGGGCGCAGAAGUGAAGACUUUUGAUGUCGUCGGGCCUGUUUGUGAAUCUGCGGACUUCUUGGGCAAGGAGCGUGAAUUACCUACACCGAAACGUGGAGAUGGGAUCGUCGUGCAUGAUGCAGGUGCAUACUGUAUGGCAAUGGCUUCAACAUAUAACUUGAGGAUGAGACCUCCUGAAUACUGGGUGGCAGACGAUGGUAAGACUGUAGAGAAGAUUAGGCACGCUGAGCAAUUGGAUGACCACAUCCGCUAUUUUGAAGGCCUGUGAGUGGAUUGCAUGCUUGGCGCAGUUCAAGCCAGGCAGUUCAGAAUAUUUGUUUCACCUCCUAUCCUUAAUCUCAAAUGAUGAGGCACACCUCUUACAAUUUGUGCAGCCUAAGUUUCUUCAUUUGCUUGUUUUUGUAGUCAACUUAUGCGUGGAGAUGUUACUUUUGUCUUAGCUAUCGCAAGCGUGUCUUUCCAGAACUUUCCUCUGACUCGCCGUAGUUGCUGCAAGCUUAGUGUCUCGGUUAGCGAACGUGUGGGAUGGCGGUUUUGUUGAUUUAUUCAUCUGGUGUGAGUUGUGAGACAUGCACACCGCCUGUAUGCUAUUGGAACUUCUAGAGCAAAGCAGCAUGGACCAAAUUCCUACCUGUUGUGAAGACACAGUCUUGCCCUGGAAUUGUAGGUCUUGUUUAUGCUGAUGUAUAAUUGUACAGACAUGGAGGAUUGCCUUGACACUAAUUAAUAUAUUUGGUUUCUCAAGAUCACUUAUGUGCUUUGCAUACGGACUUCCCAUGUCGUGACCAGAGGUGCGGAUCAAAUGUGAAGUCAUGACCCCCCAGUCUAUCACAUCUAUAAUUAGACUUUCGCAGAAUACUUUUGAUCUGGUUGCAUAUGUAUGGUUCUUUUGUUUUUCAUUCCUUUAUUGUUUGUAAUUUUCAGAAGUUCCGUGAAGGAUGUUUUUGUGUUUUGCCCGAUAUCCAGGUCCUGCGCCAGCCACAAUCCUACAAUUAGUAGUAACCAUUUCAGUAGCCACGAUACCAUGUUAAUAUUCUUCAGGCAGCUGUGCAACUCGUUUUCUCCGUCGGAGCACAGUGCCGAACAUCUACGUUUGCAGUUGUGGCCAGACACUCAAACGGCAUGAGGGGUUUCCUAUCUCGAUUAAUCUAAAACAACGUCCAUUUAACAGUUUGAAGCAUCUUUCUGGUUUGACACAAAAAGUGAUCGGUUAUCCUAGCUACACUUAAUUUCUACCUUUAGACUCAUGGACAAUCAAGCCACUGUAUGAACGUCUAGUGUUCCAUCUAUAAAAUAGUUCCUUGCCUUAUUUUUAAUUAAAACGAUGCUUAGUGGAUCUAUCUAUCUGUAUUUAAGUUUUAAUUUUUUUUUGGAGAUGCCUAGAUAUCAAGUUGAUAAUUGAAGAAAUGUCUAAUUAUAAAUUGAAGAGAGGAAAUAGAAUGAUCAUUCCUUUUAUUUGGUGAGUUACUUAUAUAUUUAUGAGUAGAAGUGUAAAUUUAUUGUUGUAUUAAUUAUGAUGAUGAAUACUCAAUGAAGACAAGUAAAUAUUUUAUUAAAUUAUUAAUUAAUUAAAUAUUUAAUUUAAAAUUUAUAUUAUCAAUUUAUAUUUUUACAAAAUAUAUCAUAAUAUAUUUUUUAAAAAUAUUGAUAGCACAUUUUAAAAAAAAAGACUACCUUUAGAAUUAUAAAUAUGUUUAUUGUAUAAUAUGUUUAUAUAUUUGUUUUAUUUUUAUUUUAAAAAAUCAUAAAUAUAUAAUUUUUAAAUAUAUAUUUUUAAACUAUAUAUAUUAUUAAUUAAAUGAUUUUAAAAAAUAAAGAUUAUUUCAUAGAUAAACAAUUAUUUCAAUCUAUUUUGGCAUUGCCUUAAAUCUAAGAUUUCUUCUACCUUAGCUCUUGAUUAUUAUCCACUUCUAUAGGAAGAGGUAGCUAUUCUUGAAAUAUUCAUUAUCUUAUAUGGCUCAAAAAAAGAUAUGGGGAAUACGAGAUAGAUCUUCAUAGACUACAAUAGAUGUAAUCAAUAAGCACCAAGAUUGACUUUUUUCACUUGUAGGAAAAGGUCUAAGCCUAUGAUAAUCCAACUUAUUACAAUGAUAAGUAGACUUGAUAUUGUGACAAAUUAACCAUACCUUAUCACCUAUUAUGAAUUGUAGUUGUUCUUUGUAAUAGGGUAUCACAAAUAUAUAUAUAUAUAUAUAUAUAUAUAUAUAUAUACUCUAAUAAUUAUUUAUAUGAUUAAGUAGAAGUAAGUAAAAAUAGAUUAAUUUUAUAAUAUCUUUUAGAAAAACUUCCUAGAAGCUUCAUAAAUGCUGGUUUGACUUUAUAUAUGUUUGUAGUUAAUUAGUAGAUUAAAAACUUGAUCAACAAGUUAGCUACAUGAUACAUGUCAUAUGACAUGAUUUUUCUAUUUGAAAAUACAUUGGAUAUCCAACUAUAGAAAGUUUAGCUUUAACUUAUUGACAAAGCUCCAAUAGAUGAUUUAUUCUUAUAACAGAGGGCAAGUAAAGGCAACAAUAUCAAAAGAAAUUCUAUUAAUAAAAACCUUUUAUAUUUAAUAAGGUUGGUACAUAAAACUUUCGAGAGUACUUGAAAAUUUUCUAACAUCCUUUUUUAUACCAAAUCAUAAUUAAUCAUUUGCUAAUAAGUUAGAUAUCCAAUAAGCUCAAAGAAAAUCCAUAAUUUCCUUUCAAAAAUUCAUAUUUAUAUCAUAAUUUUAUCAUAACUCUUUAUCUCCAUCUUUCACAUAUAUAUAAAGUCUCGACUUCCAAAAAUUCCUUUACUUUGCAUAAAAUGUUCAAAUUAUAGCAAAAUCCUUUCAAAACAUUUUUCUCCCACAAAGGAUGUUUUCUCCCUCAAUUUUAGAAUUUCAUAUCUCUUUAUCUAAUUGUUCAAUUUUUCUCAAAUUUCUAUAUAAUGUAGAAUUUAUUCUUAAGCUUAAUUUAAAAGUAAUGUCUUCAAGUAGUCAUUUUUCCUCCAAAUCAACUUCAAACUUUUUCCAUUUUGCAUGCAAAAUGUAUUCCUUUAAAUCAACUUUUCCAUUGUACAAUCUGAUCCUGAAAAGUCCUUCAUGUGCGUGUAUUAUGCCCUAAAGAGUGACAGUAGGUACAAAAUUGACACCUUGUCUUUAAGUGCUUAUAUCUCAUUCAUAAAAUCUCCAAAUCAUACAAAAUAUUCACCAAAACCAUAUCCAAAAUUCUAAACUUAAUAAUCAUAACCUUUGAUAUUUGAAUGGUUUCAAAAAAGUAACCCAAAUUCCUAAUAAGGCCUCAAGUAGCCUCCUUGAAGCCCAUUGGACAUAACUUUUGGCUAAUAAGAAAAGAGAUUUUUAUCAUCCAUCUCCAUUCAUCCAUAUAUUUGGCUUAACUAUCAUUUUUUCACACAAAAAUUCUUUUCUAAUCCUUUUUCUAAUAAGAUUUUUAUAUUAUAUGUCCUAAAUACCAAAUAAAAGAAACAAAAUAUGGUUUCAAAAGUCACUAAUGUUUAAUAUGUAGUGACUUUUGAAACCAUAAGUCAAUACAUAUUGGAAAUCUUAUAGAAUAUUGCCUUCUGGCUCUUAGUUAGAAAAGAUAUAUGGAAACAAGAGUGAAGCCUUCUUCACUUUUAUCAAUGCCUUUUUAGUCUUUAGUCUUGCUUCAAGGAUUUCUAAUCUUCUUAUUUUUGGCAAUAGCUAUUUUAAUUCACUAUAUUACCAUCUUUCAAUGAUUUUGUAAUUUUUUCAAGUACAUAAGAGUGUACUGAGAUUUGUUUUUUUGAAAUUCAUGUCCUUGAUAAUUUGACAAGAGCGCUAAUUUAUUGGUCUUGUAUUAUUUUAGAACUAAAUGGAUUAUCUUACUUUUAUUUUUGUAUUUUGAAGGUUACAAAUUAUUCACUUUUAAAAAAGCUAUUUAGUUUUUUAAUACUAUUUUUUUAUUUUAAAGAGAGCAGAUUAACUACCUUUAAACAAAUUACUUAAUUUUCUAACAUUAAUUUUUUUCUUUUAAGAGAGUAUAUUACUUUUUUUUAUAGAAAUCUUUAUUUGAUAUUAGAGGUUAUAAAUUAUCUUCUUUUAAUAUUAUUUGUAGAUUUAUUAAGUUAUUUGAAAUGGAAGGAAUAAUCAUAGAUGCUAUAUUUAGUAAAAGUGAGAAUAGAUUUGUAACUAUUGUAAUUUUUUAUGAAUUUUUCAAUAUUCUUUGGAUAGAAUUUUUUGGCAUUAUCAAUGCCAACUAUAGAAACAUUAAUCCUAUAUCCAUGGACAAAGUUCAAAGUCUAUAUCUUGAAGUUGUGCAAUUGAAGGAAGUAAGUACAUCAACCUUACAACCAAAUCCAAGAAGUUUUACUUUUGUAAGUACAAUGGGGACAAAGAUUAGUAUGCUUAAGAAGUUUAAUGGAAUAAGAUUAAAAUUUUGAGGAUUUCUACAAUAAAUUAAGUUCUAUUUAAGAUUACAUACCUUCCAAUAUCUUUAUGGAUUUAUUCAAAAUGGGUUUAUAAAUCCAUUUCUAUCUAGAAAUGCUCUGUGAGCCAAAAAUCCUCCCUAUUUACUUUAAGAAGAAAAAUAACUAUACAACAAGUUUAAAAGAUAGUAGAAACUAAUUGUGUAAUUACUUUAAUGGUUAGUUAGUUAAUCAAAUGAUUAUAAUUCCAAGUCUCUAAAUAAUAUCUUCCAAGAAAUGAUUACCAUUUGAUGUAACUUAAAAUAAGUGAUAAAAAAUAAAUAAGAGAAGAGAAGAAUGAGAUACAAAUUAUAAAAUGGAAGUAGCAAGAUGAAAAAAAGAGAGAACAAACAACUAGAUGGAAUAACGCAAUUGGAUGAAAAUAGCAUAAUUGGAUGAAGAACAACACUACUAAAUGGAAACAAUACCACUGUCAAUUUCAAACCAUUAUAACUUUUCCAUUUCAACUCCAAAUUUCAUGAUUCUUUCACCCAAUCUUAUUGAUUUUUUCCCCCUAUACAAUGAACAUAUCUAACUAAAAAAAGAAUCCUACUAACAAUGAGCUUUAAGAGGACCAGCAUGGUUAUAAAACAAACAACUUAUAAUAUAAGUUUAUUACAAUAAAAACACAACAGCUCUUUGGUGCCUCAAUAGGCCUCCCUUACCAAAGGCUCAAAUCAAAGGUCAAAGAGAGAGAGAGAUGAAGAACAAGGCUUUGAAAAGGCCUUAUAUAUCCAAGCCUUCAAGCCAUUUACCGACAAUUAUUUUAUUGAUAAUUUGCAAGUAACAACUAAUUUGGAAGCCUUUUCAUAAACUAAUCCAUGAAAGUGGUAUAACUUGCAUGUUACUUCUACCAACAAAUAUUUUUAGUACCAUUAAUCAUUAAGAAGUCAAUCUACACCUCCUAUGAUCUCCAACCAAUGCCAUUUGUGAAAAAAACUAAUGGUUGGCAUCCAUUUACCAUAAGGUAGUGAUAAAUCACUAUAGAUACCAAUCAAUGGAUAGAUUUUAUUUUCUAAUAAUUUAAUUAACCAAAAAUGUAUCUAAAAUAACUUAUUAAUUUUUGAAAGGAAUUUGCUAUAAAAAAACUUGAUUUGUUGUUGUGGGAAUAAUAGUUGAAAGAUAGAAUAGCUUUCCAUCUUCUUUCUUCACUAUCAUUUAUGGCUUCAAGAGUAAAGUAACUUUCUAACUUCUUCCUUCACCAUCUCUUGUAGCUUCAAGAAUAGAAUAAUUAUUUAUCUUCUUUCUUCACCAUUUCUUGUGGCUUUAAGAGUGGAAUAACUUUCUAUUCUUUUUUCACCAUAUUCCUACUAUAAUUAACUCCACCUUUCCUAAAAACCUCUAUUUUUUUACAAUUAAUAAAUAAUUAAUAUUAUAUCUUAUUAAAACACCAAAAAUUACCUAAAUAAAAUUUUGGUACAUAAUUUAUGGCUCACAUGUCUUCUCUUAGUAUGUACCUUUGAUGGUAAAGGAUUAAUAAUUCCUUUAUGAUUUGAAUUCAUUCCUAAAAGUGUUUACAGUUACAUUUGGAGAAAGAAAUAAAAAAAAAGUAAUAGAGACUAAGUUCUUAUCUUUAGAACAAGGAUCAUGGCUUCCUAUCAUGUAUGCUUUUGAAUUCCAAAACCUUUUUUUCAACAUAGAUUAAAAUGACAAAGUCUUUAUUAAUCAAUUUUGAUAUAGAUUAAAUGAUAGUGUCAAAGAUUUAUUAUUGAAAAUGCCAAAAGAAAAAUCUUUAAAAAAAAUUAUUGGUCAAGCCAUUGCAUGUAAUAAUCAAUUAUUUGAAAGGUGAAAGAAACAAAAACUUGGUUGGAGAAGAAUAAGUCAAGUAAUAAUGACAGCUCUCAAGUUUUCAAAAACUUACUCAUCAAGGCCAAAAUCAAUAUAAAUUAAUAUGGUACAUUUUAAAUUCCUUAAUAAGUUAGAAAAGACUCAAAAUUAUUAAGAAGGUUUAUGCUUAUAUUAUAAAAAAGCUAAUCACAUUACUCAAUAUUAUCCAAAGAAGCAAAAUAACUACAAAAUAAGAGGCAUAAUUACCAAAAAAAGAUACUGUGUCAAAAAAUAAGUUUUUCCAUCUACAAUAGAGACAAUGUGGUUAAAAUUAUGUACAAUAUCAAGUAAAGAUCCUAUUCUUUAUUUAGAUUAUUUAACUUUCUUUAUAAUAGAUAUGUAUUUAGGACCUAAAAAUCAUAAAAUCUUUGGAUUAUUAGAUCUUAAAGCUUCAAUUUAUUUUAUAAACAAAGACUUUGUCAAAAAAGAAGAAAAUUAAAUCCAUACAUAUAGAAGUCAUAGGUGGUCAUUUGUUAUCUUCUUAAGAAGUUAUCCAUGAGACUAUUUUUUUAGAUAUAGUAAUUAGAGAUUAUAAUAGCAUAUUAAUAUUUAAUAUCAUAAGAUGUCUUUAUAAUCUUAUUAUUUUAAAAUUCUUGUAGUUAAAAAAAUAUAACUAUCAAAUAGAUUAGAUUUAUUCUAAUCUUAAUUUUAAUGAUAGUUAAAUAUUAAAUCUUAUUAGUUAAGUAAAAUUUUUUAAGUCUAAUAUAUCAAAAUUCUUAUUAGUAGGUGUCAGAGCUUUUAUAUAUGCCAUAAAAGAAGGGUCAUCUUUUGUUAUAUAUGCCAUGUCUAUUUUUGAUAGUAGAAAUAUUUUAAGUAAUAUUUCUAGCCAAUAUCAAGAUUUGAAAGAUAUUUUUGAAAAAAAAAUAAAGAUAUUUUUUUAGAGCAUCAACUUUAUGAUUAUUCACUUGAUUUGCAAGAAGAACCUCAACCAUCAUUUGGAUUGAUCUAUAAUUUAUUAUAAAAUGAGUUUGCUUCAUUAAAGGAGUAUAUUAAUGAAAACUUGGCUAAAAACUUCAUACGCCAUUCAAAAUUUCCAAUAAGAGAUUCUAUCUUAUUUGUGAAGAAAAAAGACGGAUUUCUAUGGAUGUGCAUAGAUUAUUGAGGACUUUAUGAGAUAAAUAUCAAGAAUAGGUAUCUCCUACUACUGAUUUUAAAAAUUUUUAAUUAGCUCAAUGAAGCAAAGAUCUUUAAAAAAAUAAAUCUAUAAAGAGCAUACAACUUAGUUUCCAUCAAAGAAAGAAAUGAAUAAAAGAUUGCUUUUCAAACUACGUAUAGAUAUUUUGAAUAUAAUAUUAUACCUUUCAGACUCAUAAAUGUAUUAAUCAAUUUUUAAUAUCUUAUAAAAUAUAUUUUUUAUCAAUUUUUUAAUGAUUUUAUUGUUUGUUAUUUAAAUAAUAUUCUAAUCUAUUUAAAAAGCAUAGAAAAAUAUAAACUCUAUAUUUUUUGUGUAUUACUAUGGAAUUUACUAUAGAUUUUUUAAUUUCAAGUUCGUAAGAUUUUAUAUUUGUGAUAGUAGAUUAUUUUAUAAAUAUGACAUAUUUUGUACCAUUUGCAAAAUCUAUCAUAAAUAAAUAAAUAGCUAAGCUUUUUUUUGGACAAUAUCUAUUGCUAUCAUGGAUUGUCUAAGGAUAUAAGAUUAGAUAGGGAGAUUCAAUUUAUAUCAAGAUUUUAGAAAAUCUUUUUAAAAAUUUUAAACGUGGAUGUAAAGCUCUCUUUGGCUUUUUAUUUAUAAAUUGAUCGGCAAAUGAAACAAGUAAAUUAAAUUUUAGAGCAAUAUUUGAGGUAUACCAUCAAUUAUCAUCAAGAUGAUUGAAUAAUUCCUUUGUUAUUGGUAAAAUUUGUGUACAAUAAUUGAGUAUAUUCUUCUACUCAACAAACAUCUUUUAAUGCCAAUUAUGAUUAUCAUCUACAACCUGAUACUUUUGACUUUUCAAAAAAUGAUAAUCUUGUACUAGAAGAUUUUAUAAAUUAUUUGUUAGAGCUAUAUGCAACAAUGAAAGAGCAAUUAAAGGAAUUUCAAGAAUGACAAAAGUUCAAUGCGGAUGCCUAUUGCAAGAAACAACCACAAUUUAACAUGGGUGAUAAGUCUUUGUGACAAGUUGGAAUAUCAUAGGCUUGGACAUUUUUCUAUUUGUAAACAAGUUAAUCUUAUUGCUUAUUCAUUAUACCUUCUAUGAUCUAUGAAGAUCCAUCAUGUAUUUCACAUGUCUAUUUUUGAGCCAUAUAAGAUAGUGAAUAUCUUAAGAUGAAGAAAAAUAACACUUCUUUUUAUAGAAAAGAAUAAUAAUCAAGAUUUUGACGUAGAAGGAGUCUUAGAUUUAAUGUGAUAAUAUAUUAAAAUAUCUUGUUCAUUGAUAUGGAUAGAAUAUUUGUGAAUGCACAUAGGAGCCAAUAAAAAAUCUUGCAAACACAACAAUGAAUAUUGAGGCUUUCAUCAAUAAUAUCUAUUAAAAUUAAAAUAAAAAAUAAAAAAUAAAAAAUAUUUGCUAUGAAACAAGAUAUAUGAAAGAUAGCAUUCUAUCUUUUAGCUUUGAUUGUAGCUUUUGUGUAUUUAUGGCGCUAAGAAGAUAAAGAAUCAACAACUAAUAAAUUCAAUUUAAGACCUAUUAUUUAUUGAGUUAUCAGACAAGAUAUUUCAAUUGUCAUAAAUUUUCAAAGAUAUAAAGCUUGAAAAAAGAAAUCCUCAAAAGAAUUAGAAAUUCAUUUAAAAAUGAUAUAGUAUUAAAUCAGAAUGACUAUUGCCAAAUACAAGAAGACUAAAAAGACUUGAAAUAAGACUAAAGACUAAAAAGGCAUUAAUAAGACUGAAGAAGGCUUCACUCUUACCUCCACAUAUACUCUUAACUAGGAGCUAUGUUGCAAUGUCUUAUAGGACCUCUAAAAUAUGUUGACUUUGUAAGAUACAUAUCUUAACUUGCAAAGCAAGUUUUCUAUAUUUGUACCACAUAAUUAGUUUAUUCCACAAGCUAUCAAUACAUGGUUAACUUAUUGAUCAAGUUUCUAACCUACUAAUGAAGUACAAAUAUAUGUAAAGUCAAUAGAGUCUCUAAAAAGCUUCUCUAAAAAUUAUUAGGAAAUAAAUCAAAUUUUAUUUAUUUCUAUUUAAUCACAUAGAUAAAUAUUAGAAUAAAUAUGCAUAUGUGUGAUAUUAUCCUCUUUUUUAGAGAUAAGUUCUACAAAGAGCGGUCAUCAUAUAUUGAGAAAAUUCAAGAUGCAAUGAAUUAUGUUUGCUACAUAUUUUGGUCUUUAUUUUCUUUGAAGAUGGUUGAUAGGCUUGUUUAGCCAUCAAUAGUUUCUACGCUAACAUCAGCGAUAAUAAUAUGAUCUAUUCCACACAACAACAAAAACUUCAUAAAACUUCAAAGAAACUUACAAAGGAAUGUAAGUGGGCCCAUAGUCUAUUGAAGAAAGAAAAAUUUGAAGCCACAAUACUUAGCAUUCUUGACAUAGACUCUAAACUUCUUUUAUAGGCAUAAGAUUAAUAUUUCCAUGGUUGGCGCUUGUGAUGUCUAAAAUUUCUACUCUAAGAAUAUUGACAAGUUCUUAAAAAUUAAUAAUAGUUGUAAAUCUAUUCUCACUUCUAUCAAGUGUAGUAUCAAUGUUUUUUUUUUUUUUUUUUUUUUUUUUUUUUUAAACAACUUAAAAAAUUCAUAAAUAAUAUUAGAAGAGGGUAAUUCUCAACCUCUAAUAUCAAAUAAAAAUUUAUACAAAGAAAGAUAAUCCGUUCUCUUUAAAGAAGAUAUUAGUAUUAGAAUAUUAAAAAAUUUGUUUAAAGGUAGGUAGUUGCUAGAAAAAUCAAUCUACCUUAAUAGCAUUUGGUAGUCCAAUAGAAUAACUUUACUUACAUAAGAUUAGUUGUCUUCUAUUUCUUAACUAUUAUUUAUCUAUGAUUUUUUCUAUCAAAUUAUUAUAUAUUUAUAUAUUUAUAUAUUAAUUUUAUUUAAAUAAUUAAAAAGUUAUUUUUUAAAUUUUAAAUUUUAAAUUUUAAUUUUAAUUUAAUUUAUUUUCAUUUUUAUUUUUAUUUUUCUUUAAUAUUAAUAUUAAUAUUAAUAUUAUAUUUUUAAUUGAUUAAUUAAUUAAUUAAUAAUAAUAAUAAUAUUAUUAUUAUUUAUAUAUAUUAUUUUAUUUAGAUAUUUAUUUAUUUAAACAAUACAGUAAUUAGCUUGUAAGAGUUUUUACAUGCAUCACUUUCUUAAAUAAAAAAAUAACCGUAUUAAAACAUUGAUCACAACACCACAACUACUUAUUAUUUCACCAAAAAUAUAUACAAGAAUCCUUCCAAAUUUCUUGUCUAAUCACUAUUAAAAAUCAACUAUCAUCUUACAACAAUAUCAUGAAUUAUGGUCAAUCUACCAUGGUCAUCAAUUCCCAAGCUAUGUCCUGCCCUUGUUGCUACUAGAUUAUCUCUAUGUCCUUGUAAUACCACUACUCUGAUUUCUUUUGAUAAAAAUGCCUUCAUUUCACUGCCUCCUCUAAAACAGCCUUGCAGCUUAGAUCCGUCAACACCAAACUAACACACUACCAUUGUCGCUUCUUUUUUAGUCAACUCAAGCUCUUCUAAAAUUGGCACCCUUUUCUCUUUCUAAUCCAUACCUUUUUCUAUUCAUCUGAAUCUACGCCCAUAUCCACGACCAACAAUUUCUUUUCAUUUUAAUCUUUAUCUUCUUUUACUUAGAUUCUUCCACUCACCCUCUAAAGCUAAAUCACAAUUUGGUCUUCUAUGCAACUUCAGCAUACAUUGCUAUUCCAUCCUACAAUCUCCACUUCUCUCCUUUGAAUAAAACUCUCUAAGCAGUAUGUAUGUUUUCAACUAGAUCUGCCACCGUUCAACUUCUUUCUCUAUUGUAUAUGACACUUUCUUCCACCUUGCCUCGUUGUCCUCAGUAAUUCUAUUGCAUUUUAAUUUUGAUGCUCUAUACUUCCUUUGCCCAAUAUUAUUGACAUAAUCUGCCCCAUUUGGAAGUAUUUAAAUUGGAAUAUGUACAACCCAGACUGGUCUAGCAAAAUAGAUUGUUGAUUUGUGGGGUUUUUCUUAAGUCCUUCAUACAUCCUUAUGAGAAAUUAUUAUGGAUCCUUUUAAAUAUUUUUUUUAUUCUAUUUUUAUUUAGAAAUAAUAUAUUUAUUUUUUACUAUUUUUAGUAAAUACUUUUAGUUCUAAAAUUCUAGAUAAUAUAUUUUUUAUUGUUUAUCUCUUCAUUCACUACUUUAUCAACAUGAGACUACUAUCUUGAUUUAAUUUAAUUUUAAAUUAUAAUUGUUUUAUCCACCAUUAUAAUUGUAUUCAACACUUAAUACCUAAAUGAGACUAUUCUUCAAUAAUUUAUCAUACUUAUCUACAUCUAAUUUUUUUUCUUCUUAAUUCUAUUGAUUUAUUCUAAAAUAUAUUCUAACUAUACUAUAAGUCAUAAAAUUUGGCUCAAAGUAAUCUACAACCUUCAAAAUACAAUAAUAUAAGUAAAAUAAUCUAUUUAUUUCUAAAAAAAUAUAAGAAUAAUGAAUUAAUAUUCUUAUAAAACUGUCAAGGAUAUAGAGCUCAAAAGAAGAAAUUCUCAAUAUACUCUUCUGUCAUUCAGAAGAAAAAAAAAGUCACUCAAAGAUGAUAUAAUAUUAAACUAGAAUGGCUAUUUCCAAAGAUAAGAAGACUACAAAGUCUUGAAAUAAGACUAAGGAUUAGAAAGACAUUUAUAAAAGUGAAGAAAGCUUUACUUUUGUCUCUAUAUAUAUUCUUAAUUAAGAGCUAUGUAGCAGUAUCCUAUAAGAUAUAUAAAACGUGUUGACUUUGUAAGAUACAUAUUUUAACUUAUCAUGUAAGUUUUUUAUAUUUUUGCUACAUUAUUGGUUUUUUCUACAAUCUAUCAACACAAAAUUAACUCAUUGACCAAGUUUCUAACCUCCUAAUUAAUUACAAAUACAUAUAAGUCAAAGUAGCAUCUAUGAAGCUUCUAAGAAGCUUUUCUAGAAAAUAUUCUAAAAUAAAUUUAAUUUUAUUUACUUUCAUUUGAUCAUAUAGAUAAAUAAUAAAAUAAAUAUAUAUGCUUUUGAAACAACCUUCAAGACAAUAAAAUUGAGAUGACAAUCCUCAAGAACAACAUAUCCUCCCUCAAAUAGAUAGCAAGUUACAACAUGUUUGAUAUAACAAGUUUGAAUGAGAUUCUUGAUGUUUGAUUAUUUUAUUAGAAGUUGGAAGAAUUUAUGAUAGUAUUCCAUAUAUUCUAUUAGAAAAAGAUAUAAAGGUAUGAAUAAAAACUAAAUGAUAGGAUGGUAUUUACUUCAUGCUAUGUGAUACUAUAGAUGGCUGAGAGGACCUAUCGACUAACAUCAUAGAGAACAAAGAUUAGGAUAUGUGACAAACUAUCAUGGAGAUAUAUUAACUAUGAUAGUUACUAUCAUGAUACGAAUAGGUAGAAGUAGAUAAAAGUAGAUUAAUUUCAUAAUAUCUUCUAGAAAAGCUUCAUAAAAGCUUCAUAGAUGUUGCUUUGACUUUACAUGUAUUUAUACUUGAUUGAUAGGUUAAAAACUUGGUCAACAAGUUAACCACGUACUACACAUAUUGGUAGCUUGCAGAACAAGCUAACUAUGUGGCGUCCACAUAGAAAACUUGCCUUGCAAGUUAAGAUAUGUGUUGUAUAAAGUCAAUACAUUUUUGGAGGUCCUAUAGAACAUCGCCACGUAGCUCUUAGGUAGUUAGUAUAUAUAUAAAGAUAAGAAUGAAGCCUUCUUUACUCUUAUCAACUCCUUUCUUGCUUCUAGUCUAGUUUCAAGGAUCUCUUGUUUUCUUGUCUUUUGGCAAUAGUCAUUCCAAUUUCUUUCUUAAUAUACAUAUUUAGUUAUUUUUAUUUUUUUUAUUUUUCUUUAAAAAAAGUCUCAUUUGUUUAUUUAUUUUUAUCAAGUUCUUGUCUUUAAUAGAUUGAUAAGAGUACACUUAUAAUAUCAGAGCUUUGUCUAAUCUUGAUUAAGAGUGGAUUACCUCUUUUUCUUGAUAAGAUAUAAGCAUAUUAGAAGUUGCGGAUUACCCUCUUCUAAACUGAUAUUGUUCUUAAUAUCUUCUUUGUUCUCAAGUCUUUUCUUCUAUUUGUCUUAAGUGAUAUUAGAAAUCUUUUCUUUUCUAAGUAUUAUCAUGGCAAAACUUGCUAAAAUGAAGAGUGCAAUAGUACAAAUAUAAGAGCAAUUGAAGGAAUUAAUGCUUGAAAUGUAUCAACUCAAUUUACUUCCAUAAGGUGCAAUAAGAUUCAUAAGAAGUGAAGAUAUAGAAAUGAUUGGAGCUACUUCAACAUCUGCAUCAAAUCAUAUUCUUUUUCCUAUGGUAGAAUACUCUUCAAAUAUUAGAAAACCAAGAAUUGUCAUAUCUGAGAAGUUUGAUGGUAUCAGAUCAAAGUUUAGAGGAUGUAUCAAUCAAGUAGAACUUGUGAUUGAACUUCAAUCCCAAAGCUAUCCAAUUCUAAGAUCGCAAGUUAGAUUCAUUAGUACACUUCUUUCAAGUUCAGCAUUAUCAUGGUUUUCAUCUUUUCUUGAACAACGAGAUCUAAUAUUGGAUAAUUGGAAGACUUUUUUUGCAAAGUUUUGACCCAUGUAUGGAGAAUAUGAUGCAAUUCGUGUUGCAACUAACAAGAUCCAUAUUUUGCAACAAAACAAUUGAUUAUUAAUGUUAUAUGCUUUACAGUUUCAAUAACUUGCAAUUAAUAUCAAGUGGGAUGAUACUGCAUUUGUAAGCCAAUUUUUCUGUGGAUUACAAUAUGAGGUAAAAAAAUUAAUGCUCAACUUAUCUAAUCUUCAAACAUUGAGUCAAACAAUUGACUUUGCUGUAAAGUGUAACAAUCAUCUUUUUGAAUUUUGAUAUGAGAACCGUACAAAUAGACCUUAACGUUACUAUAAUUCAAUAGCAACACCAAUAUCUGUUCAGCACAUACAUUUGAAAGUAGAGGAUAUGUAAAUUGAUGCAAUAUAUUUCAAAUCUCUUAUUGAGCAAGAAAGACUCGUCAUUACUAGAAAGGAUUGUGCUUAUAUUGUAGAGAACCUAAGCAUACUAUUCAACAUUACCCAAAGAAGCAAUACAACCAUAAAAUAAGGAGUACAACUAUCAAAGAAGAUAGUAUGUCAGAAAACAAGUUUGUCCAGCUAAAAUAGGAACUAUGCGAGUGGAACCUUGUACAACACCUAGUGAAGGUCCUAUUUUCUCCUUAGAACCCUCUCCUUGUUUUACAAUAAAUGUUAUUUUAGGACCUAAACAUCACAAAGCCUUUGCCUUGUUAGAUUCAGGAGCCUCACCAUAUUUUUUAGAUGAAGAAUUUGCUAAAAGACAUAGCAUACUUUUAGUGAAGAAAACUAAACCUGUUCAUAUAGAAGUCAUAGAUGGUCGCCCGUUGUCUUGAAGAUAUGUUACUCAUGAAAUCCUUCCUAUACAAGUAGCAACUAAUGGUCAUAGUAGCUUUGUAAUAUUUAAUAUCAUUAGAUCUCCCUCUAUUCCAGUCAUUUUAGAUUUAUUAUGGCUAAAAAAUUAUAAUCCUAAAAUAGAUUAGACUUCUCGUAGUCUUAAAUUUUUUGAAAGUAUAACUAAGAACGUAAUUAAUCAAGUAAAAAGUCAUAAGUUUAGUACAAUUAAACCUGUAUUUGUAGGUACAAGAGCUUUCUUGCAUGCUGUAAAAGAAAGAUCACCUUGUGUCAUUUAUGCUACACUUGUUUCUAUUGGUGGAAAGACUUCAAGUGGCAUUCUAAGCUGUGAUUGCUCAUUUUACUUAUUCUGGAAGAAACCCCCUAACAUAAACCCGUAUUGGGGGAUUCGACCUCGAGAAAUGACCAUGUAUAUGAACUCCAAUUGUUAGGGUCACACAAUUAACAACUACUGCUGAAUGCUUACCAUACCGAAGAACACUUAACUUUUUCUCCUACUGUCCACUCUCUCAUAUCAAUACAAUAACAUCCACGACAAUGAUUUCAGUACCCUGUGUAAUUCACGAACACACAAGCAUAUGCCAAACCUUGGAAUGAACAACUUUCAAUCCACAAAAUCUAAUCAAGACAAUUCCUUCGAUUACAAUUCCUCUCCAUUAAACUUACAACCUUGCGAUAAAUAGUGACUGAAAACUUCCAUACAUCCUCAAUCUUUCACAACAAUUAAUAAACAGUGAUCCAUAAACAACUUUGUAAAUCAAACAUUAAUUCAUUAAAUCGAUUCUCUUCACUAGAAUUAACACUAACACAAAAGAAACAAGAAAACUAAGAAGAAGAGAUAGCACCAAGCUUAUCCCCGGCUCACAACUUUCACAGUCUGGCAUUUUCUUCCCCUCUCCCAUCCUCCUUAUACUACCCUGAGAUACCAACUCCUAUACUAUAGAUGAUAACUACUUUUCCUGACUAUUCAUCCAUUCCACCUGCUGAACCACCUUUUCAGUAGUUAUCUAUCCCUAUUUUUACCAUACACUAGGUAUCUACAUUUUGAAAAUAACUACUUAUUCUACAUAGCCCAACUCCUAACUGUGCAGCGUCCUCACAAACUCUCAAUUGAUACCUAUCUAAAAAUUAUCUAACAAAAAUUUACAAAAAUUACGAUCCCUUUGGCCUAUCUAAUUAAUCAGUUGCCAUAGUAUCUAUUAUUGGUUCCAUCUAUUCCAGUUCCAAUUGCAAAUCUUUAUCCUCUUCCAAUCCUUCCAUCAGCUCCUGCCUCAACUGAGCUGAAAGGUCUUCAUUGUACUCGCCCAAUUCACGGACUUGAGCUUCCAAUUUCAGGAUCUGGGCAUCUCUCAAUUCCAAUUGGUACUGAAAGUGACUCCUCUCUUCUGAAACUUCGGGAAUUGGCAACGCCGAUACUUGUGCUUGACCAAUAUUGACUAAAUCCUCUGCCAAUCUUGUCACCUUGGCGUUCAAGGCCUUAAUUUCAGCCCUUAACCGCUCUAUUUCACAUCUGUAUUGGUCAUUCAAUAGUAAUUUCUCUUGCGUCAAUAACUUGAUCUUUUCUCCUUCUAUUACCAACUGACCUUUUGCUUUUUCUAGUUCCAAAAUUGAAUGACUGCAAGCCCGGAAUAGUUCUUGCCUGUGGAAGUCCACCAUGCGCUCUCUUUCUUUGUCCCAAACUUUCUGUUGUUCCCCAAUUUGUCGCUCCAAUAGUAGCUUGGAUUCCGCAUUCGCUUGGAUGAUCCAUUCUUGCUCUUCAAUUCUUUGUGUCUGCUCUGAUAUCACCUUUUUGCUUGCCUCUAAUUCUAGUUUACCACUGCCCUCUACAUCCAAUGCUCACACCAUAGAAUGUAUUUGUGAAAUACACUUCAAUAAAAUUUUUUUAAGAUGUAUGCCUUCCGAUAGUCGGCCCUAUAAAAAUGCUAACUGAUUGAUAUCUAAUAACGUCGGGACUUCAUUCUCCUCCUCCACCACCAAACGAAUCGGAUCUAUUUUCGGUACCACUAGAUGACUGGAUUUCCCAAUUUCAUAUAUUACCUCCAUUGUAUUGACAUUUUGUGCCAACAAAUUCCGUUCUCGUUGCGGAGGCACUGGCACUAGUUCAGAACUUCCCUCUACUGGCGAUGUUUGCCGCAAUGUGUACUCAAUCACAGCAUACACAUAAUUAGAACAUAGCAAUGCUGUAAACUUUCAUAUUUUGUACUCGGCUCCCAUUUCCGCAUGAAUACGGGUUGCUACAUAAGCUGUCCAAUUGAACACCAUCCCUUCAAACGUCCCUACCGCUACAAUCAUUAACGGUUUUGACAUAUAUGUGUUGUGUCGAUACAACCCUAGACGCCUCAGUACGAAGCGCAACCAUUCCAUGAGCUCUGGUGUAAUUGCCUCAGGCAUCCGCCAACCUUGGUUCUUCUCAAACGAUGACAUGCCACUUUUGAAAUAACUUUCCAGUUGGAAGUCACUAGACUCCUCAGCACCUACUGCAAUCUCUCCUACUGGAAGAAACAAUAUUUUUUUUGACGAUCUUCUUAUCAAUACCGAUAACGUGUCCUUAGACUACGCUCGAUCCAUUCUGUGGGUCAUAGUUCGCGAUGUAUUCUUCCACUAAUACCACAUUAAUUGAAGGCAAAUUAUCUGACCUUCGUAAAAAUUGAAACAUUUGUGCGUUUUAAAAAUCUCUUAUUCUCCUUGGCAUCCAGCAAAUCUCUAGCUUCAUAGGCUCCAUAUUUUUAACGAUUACUACGGAUGGUGGUCCUAAAUUGCGUUUAGCUUUUACAUUUCGGCCACUUUCCUCUCUAUUCGUAGCUCUCUUUGCACUCUCAAUUGCCAUGAUGUACACUCUUUCAAGUUCUAACUAUCAUUACUACGCUCCAGUACUCUGAAACACCCGAAAUUGUAACACCAAAAAGAAACAAUAAUAGAAUGCGACACCUGAGAAUGACCGUAAAUGGGUGCCUCACUCCUAUUCUUUUACCUAGUGGUGAUAACGACAACAUGUUAUCACUACUGUCCGUUUCUCAUCCCCGUCCCAUCUCACACAUUAGUAAUUACUAACUAUCCUUUCAGCGGCCUCUACAUCCUAACGCACUUAAUUAAGUCUAUCCUAAAUACAUUCGACGUGACUUCCUCCAGAAAUUGAAAACUCGUCUCCGGUUUUACGUAUGAUAUAACCAUAAUCGGUUCCUGUUAAUGCAGGUAUUGAAUCAAUGACCCAUGAAAUCCUCCAAUUGAAUAGACCCAUUGGAUUUUCCAAUGGUUAAUAUUACUUCUUGCCCGUACACCAAUUGGAAUGGUGUGGAAUUGGUAGUCUCUUUAUAUGCAGUACGAUACGCCCACAAUGUCGCAAAUAAUUUAGUAUCCCGAUCCGUUCCCAUGCCCAAAAUUAUUUUGGUCAAAAUCUUAUAUAAAAUACCAUUGGUCUUUUCCGUCUGUCCAUUGGCCUGAGGAUGAUAUGGUGUUAUUUUCCUGUGCUUGAUUUCGUAUGUAUUCGUCAAGGCUGCUAUGGUAGCAUUUAUGAAAUGGGUGCUGCGAUCGCUAACCAAUUCCUUCGGACACCCAAAUCGAGUAAUAAUAUUCUCGUAUAGAAAUGUGGCCAUCGUAUUGGCAUUAUCAUUGCAUGUAGCAAUAGCCUCCGCCCAUUUGGUUAUAUAGUCCGUGGCGACUAAAAUAUACCGCUUUUGUCCAUGUCUCGAUGUUGGUGUAAUGGGUCCAACAAAAUCAAUUCUCCAUUUCUCAAAUGGUGCCUAUGCCAAGAUUGGUACUAAUGGCAUUGCUGAAGUACCCGUGGAUCGACCAAUUCGUUGACAGGGAUCACAAUGACGAACAAAUUGGUGUGCAUCAAAAAACAUUAUGGGCCACCAAUAUCCGGCCAUUAAAGCUUUGCGAAGAGUACUGUCUCCCGCAAAAUGUCUACCACAACUAUCUAAAUGACAUCCUUCCAAAAUUGUACAAACUUCACUUUGAAAGAUGCAACAGCGUAAAAUUCCAUCCCGCCCUUAUUUGUACAAGGCAUCUCUAAUCAUGGUAUACGGCGCACUUUUUAAAAUCAGACGCUUCUUUAGUUUUUCAUUCUAAGAAAUAGGAAAAGUCUAAAAUGUUAGAUAUUGGAUCAAUUCACCAUAUUUGGGUGUAAUGACAUCCACAGCGAAUAAUUGUGCGUCCGAAAGAGCAUUGUUUAUUGGCUCAUUACCCAAUAUAUUAGAUAAACGGGAUAAGUGAUCCGCAUUGGCAUGUUUCUUUCCUGGUCGUACAUUGAUAGUAAAAUUAAAUUCUUGAAGUAAUAACACCCAUCGAGCAAUGCGUCCACUCAAUUGAAGCUUAUUAAUCAUGUAUUUUAGGGCAUCAUGAUCCACAUAAAAGACAAAGGGAUACCCAAGCAAAUAGUACCGAAAUUUCUAAAUCAAGUAUAUCAUACCCAACGCUUCUCGUUCAGUAGUAGUGUAAUUACGUUCGGCAGCCAUCAAUUGUCGACUAGCAUAAUAGAUAGGAUGAUCUAGAUCUUGGUCAUCUUUCUAACUUAGCACCGAUCCAAUAGCCACAUUGGAUGCAUCAACAUACACAUGAAAGGCUCAGUCCAAUGAGGGGCCACCAAUAUUGGUACAGAGACCAAUUUUGACUUCAAUGCUUCAAAGGCCACGGUACACUCCAUGGUCCAGAUGGGACUAGUCCCAUCUAAUAAGGGUUUCUUCAGUAAGUUCGUUAAAGAUUGACAAAUAACUGCAAACCACCGAAUAAAUUGUCGAUAAUAACUGACAUGGCCGACAAAUCCUUGAACACCGGAGAUCGUCUUUGGUCUGGGUAAGUUCAUUAUAUGUGUCACUUUGUCUAGAUCCUUUGUCGUAUUACGUGCUUUCCUGCUCGAGAACGCGUCGGUGUCGUAUUACAUGCUUUCCUGCUCGAGAAUGCAUCGGGCGUCUGGCUGUAGAAGGUAGUAUGGAGAUUCGCCGAUAGUCAAGCAGUCUAUCAGUUUUUGACUGCUAGAAUAUAAACGACUGCAACAAUAUACCGUAAAUCUAUACGGAUGCUCUUCGACUCCUUGUCGAAGUCUUUUUUGCCCCAGCCAGUAGGUCUCUAGACGUUACAGAGAACCCCGAACAACCCAAACUGUUAAUCUUCAAUACCGCUUUGUACUUACGAUCUUGUAUCCACUGACUGUCUUGUUAGAUUAAUCCAAUAAAUUUCUUUCACUCCGCAUACUCAAUCCUAUAAACACCCUUUUAAUCCUUCAAUCACAGACAUAACUCGAUUUCAUAAAACAGUCAAGAGUACUCAAACCCACUUCAUUAAAAAUCCCGAUUCACCAUUACAACACUGACUUCAGCAACGAUUGCCUCAGUCUUCCCAAAACUCUAUGAAGAAGAAAAAUCCAAUUCUUCGUCUUUUCUUCUCCGACCCGAAGCAUGAAGCUCCUCUCCAGUCCCCUUGAUUCCCAAAACCUCCAAUGAAAACGAACUAGUAACCUUGCAAAAAGCUUGAAGCCCGUAAUCGGGACCACAUUGAGUCGCACGACCAAUUCAGGUCUCAUAUUAGGAAAGAGUCCAAUAGUAAGACCUCGAUGUUUCCGUAAUUGGAUCAAAUUGGUCCUUCGCGUUAGCUUGGCUGAGGCCCGUAGAAAGACUUGGAUUCUCUUCUAAUUAGACUGUAUUGGGUUGCUCGACCAAUUCAGGUCUCAUAUUGGGUAAGAGAACCCGGAUUGGAUUCUUGAAAUUGGAUCCAAUUGGCUCUUCGAACCAGGCUCAUCCGUCAUGUGAAUUGGUCCUUUUUCUUUCUGCUGACUCUCGUUAUUGGAAUCGAAGAGAGCAUUUCAGUAUGCCCCGGCUGAUUGUAACGGGGUGACUAACCUUGGCCUCCUAGUAUUUGCACAGGAAAUGGUCGUUGCUCCCAAUAUUCGAGGUAACUAAACAUUAAUAAAAGUCCUCUUUCUUUAUAUUUUCACAGUAUACUCGUGUUACAACACGACAUCCACCCCCUCUGAACCUGUGCAUCCUCCGGUAUGCACCAGUUUACCCAAUUGCUGUUUGAUUUAGAAUAUAUCCUCUACGUCUUUGUCCAGUUCAUCUUCGUCACCUUCAUUAUCCAAAUCACUUUCAUCUUCUUGCUGCAAAAUCUCUAUACCUUCAUUAAGGUCUUCCAUAUUCAUCUCCGUGUGUCUUCGUUUAAAUAUUUUUACUCGCUUCUCUGCAAUUGGUAUUUUGAAUUUUGUACCAUCUAACUCCCGUAGUAAGUAAGUCGCAUUAUCAUGAACAGUUUUUACUACAUAUGGUCCAAACCAAUGUUUUGAAAAUUUCCGCAAAGUACUAUGUUGAUUAUCCAGACUAUUGUCAUAAACAAGUACCCAGUCACCUUUCUCGAUUGCUUUUAGUCUCAAUCGAUGUUGCUUAUCGAAUCGCGCCUUAUUUUGUAACCUUGCUCUUUUUAACCUUUCUAAUGCUAUCUGCACAUCUUCCGUUCUUUGCUCCAAUUGUCGAAUCCUAAUAGCCAAAAGUUCUUCUCUUAUCAAUCCAUCUUCCCAUGGUAGCAUACUCUAAGUAAGUACCUUUUCUUCAAUCAGCAUAAUUGGUUUUCGACCUGUCAUAAGUUCUACUGGCAUAUAUCCUAUCACCGAACUAUGUGUUGUUCGAUCAGCCCAUAAUGCAAAUGACAAAACCCGUGGCCACUCUUUAACCUUCCCAUUACAAGCUUUAACCAAUGCUUUCACAAUCGGUGGGUGACCACGAUCGCUUUUCGCAUUCCCUUCCGGAUUAUAAGCAGUAGUCGGUGAUAGUUUAACUCCACAUUUUUCAAAGAACUUACGAGCUUCUUUUACAUUUAAUUCUCCACGAUCUGCAGUGAUUUUUCCUACGCACCCGUAACGGCAAAUGACAUCUUCAAGCAAAAACCUACAAAUCCUCUCUGUAGAUUUUGUCCUCAAUGCUCUUCCUUCUACUAGAUUUGAUAAAUCUUCACGAGCUAAAACCAAAUAUCUCAUCUGCCAUAACCCAACCGGUAUAAUAACCAAAUCAACAAUCCAUUUAAAAUGAAUAGCCAGAGGAUACGUAGGAUGAAGACCAUCUCGAUGUCGGAUAUUAGAAUACGAUUGACAGAUUUCACAUGACUCUACAAAUGAGAGCACAUCUCGAUACAUAUUUUUCCACCAAUAUCGUUCCUUGAGUUUAGCAAAAGUAGCCCAGAUUCCUCUAUGCCCUGCCUAUAAACUAUCAUGAAACUCCUUUAAUAAUUUUAGUUUUUCUUCCUUUUUGCCUACCACUCGUCAUGGCAUCCCAAUUCCUUUCUUCGGUCUCUUCCAUAAGAAUCCAUCUCGAAGUAAAAAUCCAUAUGCUUUUUUUCUUAUUUAUUUGAAUUUUUUUGUAGGCCAAUUCCCCUGCUUAGUCAAGGUAUUCAAGUAAUGACCAAUAUCCAAUAAUUCUCCUUCAUAAGAUUCUUCAAGAAAUAGCUUGUCUUCUCUGUUGAGAUUUGAUAUUGAAUAGAAUUUCAAUCCAACGUCAUCAAUGUCUUCAACCAUUUCGUCCUCCCUCUCGUAUCUUGCUCGAGAUAGCAUGUCUGCUACUAAAUUGUCAUUUCCAGUGAUAUGCUUAAAUUCUGGAUUUAGUGACUUAAUAUAAGCAAUCCAUCUCAACAUUGCAAUAUCUGGCAUUGAACAGUUAAUAAUCAUUCCAAGUAAUGGCAAGCAAUCUGUUUCAAUUACUAUUACUGCCUUAAUCAAAUAGUCCUUUUCAGCUUUCAUAGCCGAAACGACUCCCCAAAGUUCUCUUUUGACUUGCGAAUAUGCACGCUGACGAAUACUUAAAACUUUAGUUCCAAAUCGAACUGCAAAUCUAUUCCCAUUUGAAUCAUCUUGACCCACAGCCCAUCCAAUGGCAAUUAGACUAGCGUCCACAGUAAGAAUCACUGGUCUAUUGCACUUAUAAUCAACCUUCCUCAAUAUUGGAGGUGACAUCAAUAAUUUCUUCAAUCUUUGUAUUGUCUGAAUAUGCCUUUCUUUCCAUUCAAAUCGGUAACCCUGGCGUAACAGUUCAUAUAAUGGAUCCGCUAUGUGAGCAAAAUGAGGGAUCUAGAUUCGAUAAAAUACACAUGCACCCAAAAACCUGUGAACCUCUGUUAAAGAAUCACAAUCCUCUUUCAUCCUUCCAAUUGCAUCAACUUUAGUCGGAUCUGGUUUUCUUCCGUAAGAUCCACAUAAAUAUCCAACAAAUACAACCUCUCGCACUCCAAAUACGGACUUCAUACCCGAUAAUGUAAGAUGAACUUCUCCAAGCCGAGUUAAAAUCUUUUCACAAUCUUGUAUAUGAUCAACAACAUAUCUGCGACACCCCCUCGUAUCUAAAGUUUCAUCCUUGUCUCCUUCUCUGCACCCUUUUAUAGGAACAUCAUCCAGAAAAGGCAUAGUCUUUUCCGUAAUAAAAUCUCUCAAUACCUUAUUCAUCCCAUUCAUCAUAUGCGCAACUGAGUUGGUCGUGCCUUUAGGAAGAGUGCACAUUCUAAUCAAUCCAAGUGGUGUCCUCAUUGUUAUCAUAUCUCUAUUUCCUUCGGCAAGUUGAAAUUGAUCAUAACCUGAAUACAAGUCACCCAUUGAAUAGAUCGCCCUUCCAGCAAACGCCUCAGCAAAUUCAUCCACAAUAGGUCCAAUUCCUGCAUUCCUGACAUUUACAGCAUUCACCGGCUGCAUAUCUUGAAUAAACUGUAGUGACCCAUUCUUCUUAGGUACCGUAAACCAUCGACUAGAAUACGACGCAAAUGAAGGUUCUAAUAUUUUCAUCUUUAUCUUUUCUUUCAAUAGUUCGACCAAUUUAGGUAAAUGUGCCCUCGGUACUGGAAUCGGUCUUAGAUUCCAAAGUACAUGCGGUACAGUGAAGAUAACCAUAGGUGUUAUAAUAUUCGGAUCCACACACCCAAUUUCAUAAGAUUCGAAGGCAAACGAUCUACCUUGUUUAGCCAACAUCUUUUUGAAGCAAGUAAUUUCCUCCGGCAAUAAAGAACCAUCAGAACCAAUCUUCAAUUCUUCAAAAGUCUCUUCAGUAAACUGAUGUCCAAUACUCAUUGGAUCUCUUAAACUUGCUUCUUUUGAUGCUUCUCCCAUUUGUUCUUUAGAAUCCUCUGGUUAUGGUCCGGCAACAGGCUUUACCUUCUUAUCUGCCGUUUUAUAUCUCGUCUCUACUGUGACUUCUGGUGCUUGAAAAGAUUCAAGCAUGGUAUAAACCUCUCUCGAAUGAAUCUCAACAAUCUUAUCAUUAUCCCCUAAUCCAAUAGAUGUAAUCAAUUCCAAUGAAUCUUCCAGUCCAUUUUCUUCAUAAACACCCAAAAUCCUCUCAUCAUCUUGCAAUGUACCUAACUUGCAUAAUUCUCCUUCAAUAUUAUAUAAUCUUUUCUUUCUUUUCUUUUAAAAUCAUCAACUUUCUUAUAGAUAAUAUUUCCAUUCUCCAAUAUACCAAUAAAACUCGAAUUAAAGGCACCUUCAUCUCGCGAGAGUACCUCCUCUUUUGUACCUCCAUAAUCUCGCUUUACAGUGGUACCUCCCCAAAAUCCUUAAAUCCUUCAACAAUCUUUGGCAAUGGUUUCUCCUUCAACCUAUCUCGAUUCCGUUCAUGGUUAGGAGGUACUGUUAGAAAUUGUACAGCUUUCCUCCCAUCUUCGCUCCGUACCCUUGCAUAAGUAGAACCAUCGUCAAGUACUUUUGUUUCCAUCCGUGUUGCCGUUGUCCUAUUACGUGCUUUCCUGCUCCAGAACGCGCCAGGCGUCUAGCUGUAGAAGGUAGUAUGGAGAUUUGCCGAUAGUCAAGCAGUCUAUCAAUUUUUGACUGCUGGAAUAUAAACGACUGCGUUAUUAGCUGCUCGUAUUGCCCAUCCAUGUUCCAUAUCAAUUGGCCAUUUUUGCUUCUUAUAAAGAUCUUUAAACAUGAGAUUUAUUUCAGAACCAUGGUCCACCAAGGCAACUAUUGGUUCUUCUUUAUCUCCUACCUUCACCAAUACCUCAGUAGUUGCCCUUGCCCAAUGCUUUCGAGUAUAAUGGCUCAAAGUUUCCAUUUCCUUGUCACUAGAAUCUUCGAAACGUACUCGUUGAUUACAUCCAUUCUUUUCAUUUGUUGGUUGCUUGUAACCAAUAUCAACCUCUUCUUCAUCUCUACAUAUUCUUGCAUCAAUAGCAUGACUCAUUCCAAUUUCGCUCAUUAAUUGCCUCUUUCGCUUAAUGCUGUCAAUGAUAACAUCAUGAAACUCCUUCUUUGCAAUUCCCAAGACUUCUUUCAAUGUGAAUUCCACCUUAGCAUUUAAUAUACGUUCUUCUAACACCCCUUUCAAAUUUGUUGCCGCUUCAAUAUCAGAAAGUAGCUUAUAAGCAAUUGAUUUGCCCUUAUCUUUUGUCUCCGUUGUUUUUCCUCCCAAUGAUGCUGAGGUAUCCUUUACAGGCAAUUCUUGUGAACCUACCUCCCGAGCCUUGUCUCCUCGAGUUUGCCUCUUAAAAGAAUUUCCUUCUCUAGUAUCAUCAAAAUUUCCUCGUCUUUUUUCUUCCAUCAAAGCUUCAUGUUGGCUCUUAGCAAUAUAUGCAUGAACUGAAAGAGACUCAACAGGAUCCUCCCAACCUAUUCUUCCUCGUAUUGUAGCUGCAGUUCUCAAUAAUGCUUCUCGAGGUAAUUUCCCUUCUUGCAUUGUAGAAACGGCAGAAGCCCAAAACUCACUAAUUUCCGUACUUCCACCAAUUUCAUCAUCUACUCUAGCACCAUAACUUGCACUUUCUCGUACUACUGUUUGAUGCUCUUUUAAGUAAUCUUGAACCAAUGCUCUCAUUCCUCCCUUGCCAAAAUUGGUUUGAGGAAGAUCCUCUCUAUCUUUCAAUGCUAUCUUCCCAUCUUUCCAGCAAAUAAUUCCCUGCCGUAUCAUAUUAUUAAAUUCAUUGCAAUCUUUUCUAGUGUGUGAAGCAUCAUCACACCAAAUACAUCUUUGUACAUAUCCUUGUUUUGAAACAUUCUUCGAAUUGUUUAUAGAAGUAUUCUCUUCAAGUCUUGCCAAUUUGAUUUGAAGAUCUCGCAUUCCUCGUAUAAUUUCUUCCAUACCCAUAUCUGCUUUCUUUGACAAGGAUGUCGAAGGUUGAACUGUAGGCAUUGUCGGUGGUGUUGUACGUAGUGGAGCUUUGGGUGCUUGUACUGUUUUCGGAAUAUUGCUCCUAUCCUUCCUCCUUUCUUUUUUUGUAAGCAACCCCACCGCAUCUUCAACGUUCUUCCACUUCGUUGUCAAUUCUUCAUCUUCUUCUUUGUCUUCAAGAAGGGGUUCUAAUUUCUCUUGCAAUUUUCCAUGAGCAGCUUGAAGAAAUAGAUCAACUUUGUUCGGCUCCAAUGUCAAUUUUUCUACCUUCGAUAAUUGAGAGUACUGCCUCUCAAAUUCCCUUAGUAGCUCUGUUGCUUGUAAAUUCUUAUUGGGCCGUUCAAUCCAUCCCAGAAACAACUUCUUAGUAACGCGAUCAGCAUCUUCCAAGAAAUAUUCGUCUUUCAAUGCAUGUGAAAAAUCCUCCCAUGAAUUCUAACAACGAUCCGUAAUCGAUGUAAUGUCGUCCCUUAUCUCCGGUAUCGUGGCAAGUCCAAAUAGUGCAACCAUUUUCUUCUCAGAAACCUGAUUUAAUUCCAUUUCACGAACAUAACAUCUUAAAUACCUUGAAAUAUUCCUCCCAUCAAAUUGAUCAAUUUUAUUGACAACUGCUUGCAAUGCUUUGGUUGCCAAAGCUUCCUUUCGAUCAUUGCUUUGUUGUUGCUGUAUUGACAAUGAGAAGGCUUGAAACAAACUAGCAAUAGAUGGAUCCAUGUGCAUACCUUGUCCUUUAGAAGAAUCCCCACCAAAAUCUUCUCCCAAAAAUCCUUCAAAAUUUUUAUUUUCGUUUUCCAUAAAAAUAAAGAUAAAAUCAACCGAUAUCCAAUACCUUCUACCUCAAGCUUUCACGUUGGGUUCACCACUUAUGUCGUAUUACGUGCUUUCCUGCUCGAGAACGUGCCGGGCGUCUGGCUGUAGAAGGUAGUAUGGAGAUUUGCCUAUAGUCAAGCAGUCUAUCAGUUUUUGACUGCUGGAAUAUAAACGACUGCAACAAUGUACCGUAAAUCUAUACGGAUGCUCUUCGACUGCUUGUCGAAGUCUUUUUUUUUUUUUUUUUUUUUUCCAGCCGAUAGGACUCUAGACGUUACAGAGAACCCCGAACAACCCAAACUAUUAAUCUUCAAUACCCCUUUGUACUUACGAUCUUGUAUCCACUGACUGUCUUGUUAGAUUAACCCAAUAAAUUUCAUUCACUCCGCAUACUCAAUCCUAUAGACACCCCUUUAAUCCUUCAAUCAUAGACGUAACUUGAUUUUACAAAACAGUUAAGAGUAUUCAAACCCACUUCAUUUAAAAAUCCCGAUUCACCAUUACAACACUAACUUCAGCAGCGAUUGCCUCAGUCUUCCCAAAACUCUACGAAGAAGAAAAAUCCAAAUUCUAUGUCUUUCCUUCCCCGACCCGAAGCAUGAAGCUCCUCUCUCUAAUUGCCUUGAUCUUUCAAAAACCUCCAAUGAAAAACCAAACUGGUAACCUUGCAAAAGCUUGAAAACUCGCUCCCCCCCCGAUUCCCCCGAAAAAAAACCUCCCCCUUCAAAACUAUAUUCCCCCCUAACCUUAUCCUCUGAAUUUCUUCAAUCUUUCGUCUUAGAUCCGGAAUUGGCUCCCACCUCAAGCUUGGAUCCGAAAUUGGCUCUCGCCGUCAAGUUUUGUCCUCCGUUUUUACCUUUAAGAAAUCCAUUUACCGAAAACAACGUUCCCUGAAACGGCACAGAGAACAGGACAGCCUGAAACAGAAUCGAACCCCGUAAUCGGGACCACAUUGAGUCGCCCGACCAAUUCAGGUCCUAUAUUGGGAAAGAUGCUCGUAGUAACCUGGAUGUUUCCGUAAUUGGGUCAAAUUGGUCCUCGCGUCAGAUUGGCUAAGAUCCGUAGUAAGACCUGGAUUUCCCCGUAAUUAGACUGCAUUGGGUUGACCGGCCAAUUCAGGUCUCAUAUUGGAUAAUAGAACCCGGAUUGGAUUCUUGAAAUUGGAUCCAAUUGGCUCCUCGAACCCGUCGUGUGAAUUGGUCCUUCUCUUCCUGCUGACUCCCGUUAUUGGAAUCGAACGGAGCAUUUUAGUAUGCCCCGGCUGACUGUAACGGAGUGACUGAACCUGACCACUCAGUAUUUGUACUGGAGUUGGUUGAUGCUCCCAAUAUUCGAGGUAACUGAAUAUUAAUAAAAUUCCUCUUUCUUUUUAUUUUCACUGUAUACUCGUGUUACAACACGACAUCCACCCCCUCUGAACCUGUGCAUCCUCCGGUAUGCACUAAUUUACCCAAUUGCUGUUUGAUUCAGAAUAUAUCCCCUACGUCUUUGUCUAGUUCGUCUUCGUCACCUUCAUUAUCCAUAUCACUUUCAUCUUCUUGCUGCGGAUUCUCUGUACCUUCAUUAAGGUCUUCCAUAUUCAUCUCCGUGUGUCUUUGUUUAAAUAUUUUUACUCGCUUCCCUGCAAUUGGUAUUUUCAAUUUUGUACCAUCUAACUCCCGUAGUAAGUAAGUCGCAUUAUCAUGAACAGUUUUUACUACAUAUGGUCCAAACCAAUGUUUUGAAAAUUUCCGCAAAGUACUAUGUUGAUUAUCCAGACUAUUGUCAUAAACAAGUACCCAGUCACCUUUCUCGAUUGCUUUUAGUCUCAAUCGAUGUUGCUUAUCGAAUCGCGCCUUAUUUUGUAACCUUGCUCUUUUUAACCUUUCUAAUGCUAUCUGCACAUCUUCCGUUCUUUGCUCCAAUUGUCGAAUCCUAAUAGCGAGAAGUUCUUCUCUUGUCAAUCCAUCUUCCCAUGGUAGCAUACUCCAAGUAAGUACCUUUUCUUCAAUCGGCAUAAUUGGUUUUUGACCUGUCAUAAGUUCUACUGGCAUAUAUCCUGUCACCGAACUAUGUGUUGUUCGAUCAGCCCAUAAUGCAAAUGACAAAACCCGUGGCCACUCUUUAACCUUCCCAUUACAAGCUUUAACCAAUGCUUUCACAAUCGGUGGGUGACCACGAUCGCUUUUCGCAUUCCCUUCCGGAUUAUAAGCAGUAGUCGGUGAUAGUUUAACUCCACAUUUUUCAAAGAACUUACGAGCUUCUUUUACAUUUAAUUCUCCACGAUCUGCAGUGAUUUUUCCUACGCACCCGUAACGGCAAAUGACAUCUUCAAGCAAAAACCUACAAAUCCUCUCUGUAGAUUUUGUCCUCAAUGCUCUUCCUUCUACUAGAUUUGAUAAAUCUUCACGAGCUAAAACCAAAUAUCUCAUCUGCCAUAACCCAACCGGUAUAAUAACCAAAUCAACAAUCCAUUUAAAAUGAAUAGCCAGAGGAUACGUAGGAUGAAGACCAUCUCGAUGUCGGAUAUUAGAAUACGAUUGACAGAUUUCACAUGACUCUACAAAUGAGAGCACAUCUCGAUACAUAUUUUUCUACCAAUAUCGUUCCUUGAGUUUAGCAAAAGUAGCCCAGAUUCCUCUAUGCCCUGCCUAUAAACUAUCAUGAAACUCCUUUAAUAAUUUUAGUUUUUCUUCCUUUUUGCCUACCACUCGUCAUGGCAUCCCAAUUCCUUUCUUCGGUCUCUUCCAUAAGAAUCCAUCUCGAAGUAAAAAUCCAUAUGCUUUUUUUCUUAUUUAUUUGAAUUUUUUUGUAGGCCAAUUCCCCUGCUUAGUCAAGGUAUUCAAGUAAUGACCAAUAUCCAAUAAUUCUCCUUCAUAAGAUUCUUCAAGAAAUAGCUUGUCUUCUCUGUUGAGAUUUGAUAUUGAAUAGAAUUUCAAUCCAACGUCAUCAAUGUCUUCAACCAUUUCGUCCUCCCUCUCGUAUCUUGCUCGAGAUAGCAUGUCUGCUACUAAAUUGUCAUUUCCAGUGAUAUGCUUAAAUUCUGGAUUUAGUGACUUAAUAUAAGCAAUCCAUCUCAACAUUGCAAUAUCUGGCGUUGAACAGUUAAUAAUCAUUCCAAGUAAUGGCAAGCAAUCUGUUUCAAUUACUAUUACUGCCUUAAUCAAAUAGUCCUUUUCAGCUUUCAUAGCCGAAAUGACUCCCCAAAGUUCUCUUUUGACUUGCGAAUAUGCACGCUGACGAAUACUUAAAACUUUAGUUCUAAAUCGAACUGCAAAUCUAUUCCCAUUUGAAUCAUCUUGACCCACAGCCCAUCCAAUGGCAAUUAGACUAGCGUCCACAGUAAGAAUCACUGGUCUAUUGCACUUAUAAUCAACCUUCCUCAAUAUUGGAGGUGACAUCAAUAAUUUCUUCAAUCUUUGCAUUGCCUGAAUAUGCCUUUCUUCCCAUUUAAAUCGGUAACCUUUGCGUAACAGUUCAUAUAAUGAAUCCGCUAUGUGAGCAAAAUGAGGGAUCCAGAUUCGAUAAAAUAUACAUGCAUCCAAAAACCAGCGAACCUCUGUUAAAGAAUCACAAUCCUCUUUCAUCCUUCCAAUUGCAUCAACUUUAGUCGGAUCUGGUUUUCUUCUGUAAGAUCCACAUAAAUAUCCAACAAAUACAACCUCUCGCACUCCAAAUACGGACUUCAUACCCGAUAAUGUAAGAUGAACUUCUCCAAGCCGAGUUAAAAUCUUUUCACAAUCUUGUAUAUGAUCAACAACAUAUCUGCGACACCCCCUCGUAUCUAAAGUUUCAUCCUUGUCUCCUUCUCUGCACCCUUUUAUAGGAACAUCAUCCAGAAAAGGCAUAGUCUUUUCCGGAAUAAAAUCUCUCAAUACCUUAUUCAUCCCAUUCAUCAUAUGCGCAACUGAGUUGGUCGCGCCUUUAGGAAGAGUGCACAUUCUAAUCAAUCCAAGUGGUGUCCUCAUUGUUGUCAUAUCUCUAUUUCCUUCGGCAAGUUGAAAUUGAUCAUAACCUGAAUACAAGUCACCCAUUGAAUAGAUCGCCCUUCCAGCAAACGCCUCAGCAAAUUCAUCCACAAUAGGUCCAAUUCCUGCAUUCCUGACAUUUACAGCAUUCACCGGCUGCAUAUCUUGAAUAAACUGUAGUGACCCAUUCUUCUUAGGUACCGUAAACCAUCGACUAGAAUACGGCGCAAAUGAAGGUUCUAAUAUUUUCAUCUUUAUCUUUUCUUUCAAUAGUUCGACCAAUUUAGGUAAAUGUGCCCUCGGUACUGGAAUCGGUCUUAGAUUCCAAGGUACAUGCGGUACAGUGAAGAUAACCAUAGGUGUUAUAAUAUUCGGAUCCACACACCCAAUUUCAUAAGAUUCGAAGGCAAACGAUCUACCUUGUUUAGCCAACAUCUUUUUGAAGCAAGUAAUUUCCUCCGGCAAUAAAGAACCAUCAGAACCAAUCUUCAAUUCUUCAAAAGUCUCUUCAGUAAACUGAUGUCCAAUACUCAUUGGAUCUCUUAAACUUGCUUCUUUUGAUGCUUCUCCCAUUUGUUCUUUAGAAUCCUCUGGUUAUGGUCCGGCAACAGGCUUUACCUUCUUAUCUGCCGUUUUAUAUCUCGUCUCUACUGUGACUUCUGGUGCUUGAAAAGAUUCAAGCAUGGUAUAAACCUCUCUCGAAUGAAUCUCAACAAUCUUAUCAUUAUCCCCUAAUCCAAUAGAUGUAAUCAAUUCCAAUGAAUCUUCCAGUCCAUUUUCUUCAUAAACACCCAAAAUCCUCUCAUCAUCUUGCAAUGUACCUAACUUGCAUAAUUCUCCUUCAAUAUUAUAUAAUCUUUUCUUUCUUUUCUUUUAAAAUCAUCAACUUUCUUAUAGAUAAUAUUUCCAUUCUCCAAUAUACCAAUAAAACUCGAAUUAAAGGCACCUUCAUCUCGCGAGAGUACCUCCUCUUUUGUACCUCCAUAAUCUCGCUUUACAGUGGUACCUCCCCAAAAUCCUUAAAUCCUUCAACAAUCUUUGGCAAUGGUUUCUCCUUCAACCUAUCUCGAUUCCGUUCAUGGUUAGGAGGUACUGUUAGAAAUUGUACAGCUUUCCUCCCAUCUUCGCUCCGUACCCUUGCAUAAGUAGAACCAUCGUCAAGUACUUUUGUUUCCAUCCGUGUUGCCAUGAUAUAAGGUUGUCCUAAAAUCAACGGAUAAGACGUUGUAUCUUGAACGAAGAAAUGUUGCUCCGUCGUAACAUCCCCAAUCCGAAUUUUGACAUCUGGACAAGCUCCAUAUAAUUCGCCCCGUGUGUUAUUAGCUGCUCGUAUUGCCCAUCCAUGUUCCAUAUCAAUUGGCCAUUUUUGCUUCUUAUAAAGAUCUUUAAAUUUCCAGCCGAUAGGUCUCUAGACGUUACAGAGAACCCCGAACAAUCCAAAUUGUUAAUCUUCAAUACCUCUUUGUACUUACGAUCUUGUAUCCACUGACUGUCCUGUUAGAUUAACCCAGUAAAUUUCAUUNNNNNNNNNNNNNNNNNNNNNNNNNNNNNNNNNNNNNNNNNNNNNNNNNNNNNNNNNNNNNNNNNNNNNNNNNNNNNNNNNNNNNNNNNNNNNNNNNNNNCCCUUUAAUCCUUCAUCAUAGACGUAACUUGAUUUUACAAAACAGUUAAGAGUAUUCAAACCCACUUCAUUUAAAAAUCCCGAUUCACCAUUACAACACUAACUUCAGCAGCGAUUGCCUCAGUCUUCCCAAAACUCUACGAAGAAGAAAAAUCCAAAUUCUAUGUCUUUCCUUCCCCGACCCGAAGCAUGAAGCUCCUCUCUCUAAUUGCCUUGAUCUUUCAAAAACCUCCAAUGAAAAACCAAACUGGUAACCUUGCAAAAGCUUGAAAACUCGCUCCCCCCCCGAUUCCCCCGAAAAAAAACCUCCCCCCUCAAAACUAUAUUCCCUCCUAACCUUAUCCUCUGAAUUUCUUCAAUCUUCCGUCUUAGAUCCGGAAUUGGCUCCCACUUCAAGCUUGGAUCCGAAAUUGGCUCUCGCCGUCAAGUUUUGUCCUCCGUUUUUACCUUUAAGAAAUCCAUUUACCGAAAACAACGUUCCCUGAAACGGCACAGAGAACAGGACAGCCUGAAACAGAAUCGAACCCCGUAAUCGGGACCACAUUGAGUCGCUCGACCAAUUCAGGUCCUAUAUUGGGAAAGAUGCUCGUAGUAACCUGGAUGUUCCCGUAAUUGGGUCAAAUUGGUCCUCGCGUCAGAUUGGCUAAGAUCCGUAGUAAGAUCUGGAUUUCCCCGUAAUUAGACUGCAUUGGGUUGACCGGCCAAUUCAGGUCUCAUAUUGGAUAAGAGGACCCGGAUUGGAUUAUCGAAAUUGGAUCCAAUUGGCUCCUCGAACCCGUCGUGUGAAUUGGUCCUUCUCUUCCUGCUGACUCCCGUUAUUGGAAUCGAACGGAGCAUUUCAGUAUGCCCCGGCUGACUGUAACGGAGUGACUGAACCUGACCACUCAGUAUUUGUACUGGAGUUGGUUGAUGCUCCCAAUAUUCGAGGUAACUGAAUAUUAAUAAAAUUCCCCUUUCUUUUUAUUUUCACUGUAUACUCGUGUUACAACACGACACCAUAAUAUAAGGUUGUCCUAAAAUCAACGGAUAAGACGUUGUAUCUUGAACAAAGAAAUGUUGCUCCGUCGUAACAUCCCCAAUCCGAAUUUUGACAUCUGGACAAGCUCCAUAUAAUUCGCCUGGUGUGUUAUUAGCUGCUCGUAUUGCCCAUCCAUAUUCCAUAUCAAUUGGCCAUUUUUGCUUCUUAUAAAGAUCUUUAGACAUGACAUUUAUUUCAGAAUCAUGGUCGACUAAAGCAACUAUUGGUUCUUCUUUAUCUCCUACCUUCACCAAUACCUCAGUAGUUGCCCUUGCCCAAUGCUUUCGAGUAUAAUGCCUCAAAGUUUCUAUUUCCUUGUCACUAGAAUCUUCGAAACGUACUCGUUGAUUACAUCCAUUCUUUUCAUUUGUUGGUUGCUUGUAACCAAUAUCAACCUCUUCUUCAUCUCUACAUAUUCUUGCAUCAAUAGCAUGACUCAUUCCAAUUUCGCUCAUUAAUUGCCUCUUUCGCUUAAUGCUGUCAAUGAUAACAUCAUGAAACUCCUUCUUUGCAAUUCCCAAGACUUCUUUCAAUGUGAAUUCCACCUUAGCAUUUAAUAUACGUUCUUCUAACACCCCUUUCAAAUUUGUUGCCGCUUCAAUAUCAGAAAGUAGCUUAUAAGCAAUUGAUUUGCCCUUAUCUUUUGUCUCCGUUGUUUUUCCUCCCAAUGAUGCUGAGGUAUCCUUUACAGGCAAUUCUUGUGAACCUACCUCCCGAGCCUUGUCUCCUCGAGUUUGCCUCUUAAAAGAAUUUCCUUCUCUAGUAUCAUCAAAAUUUCCUCGUCUUUUUUCUUCUAUCAAAGCUUCAUGUUGGCUCUUAGCAAUAUAUGCAUGAACUGAAAGAGACUCAACAGGAUCCUCCCAACCUAUUCUUCCUCGUAUUGUAGCUGCAGUUCUCAAUAACGCUUCUCGAGGUAAUUUUCCUUCUUGCAUUGUAGAAACGGCAGAAGCCCAAAACUCACUAGUUUCCGUACUUCCACCAAUUUCAUCAUCUACUCUAGCACCAUAACUUGCACUUUCUCGUACUGCUGUUUCAUGCUCUUUUAGGUAAUCUUAAACCAAUGCUCUCAUUCCUCCCUUGCCAAAAUUGGUUUGAGGAAGAUCCUCUCUAUCUUUCAAUGCUAUCUUCCCAUCUUUCCAGCAAAUAAUUCCCUGCUGUAUCAUAUUAUUAAAUUCAUUGCAAUCUUUUCUAGUGUGUGAAGCGUCAUCACACCAAAUGCAUCUUUGUACAUAUCCUUGUUUUGAAACAUUCUUCGAAUUGUUUAUAGAAGUAUUCUCUUCAAGUCUUGCCAAUUUGAUUUGAAGAUCUCGCAUUCCUCGUAUAAUUUCUUCCAUCCCCAUAUCUGCUUUCUUUGAUAAGGAUGUCGAAGGUUGAACUGUAGGCAUUGUUGGUGGUGUUGUACGUAGUGGAGCUUUGGGUGCUUGUACUAUUUUUGGAAUAUUGCUCCAAUCCUUCUUCCUUUCUCUUUUUGUAAGCAACCCCACCGCAUCUUCAACGUUCUUCUACUUUGUUGUCCAUCCUUCAUCUUCUUCUUUGUCUUCAAGAAGGAGUUCUUAUUUCGCUUGCAAUUCUCCAUGAGUAGCUUGAAGAAAUCGAUCAACUUUGUUCGGCUCCAAUGUCAAUUUUUCUACCUUCGACAAUUGAGAGUACUGCCUCUCAAAUUCCCUUAGUAGCUCUGUUGCUUGUAAAUUCUUAUUGGGCCGUUCAAUCCAUUCCAGAAACAACUUCUUAGUAACGCGAUCAGCAUCUUCCAAGAAAUAUUCGUCUUUCAAUGCAUGUGAAAAAUCCUCCCAUGAAUUCUGACAACGAUCUGUAAUCGAUGUAAUGUCGUCCCUUAUCUCCGGUAUCGUGGCAAGUCCAAAUAGUGCAACCAUUUUCUUCUCAGAAAUCCGAUUUGAUUCCAUUUCACGAAUAUAACAUCUUAAAUACCUUGAAAUAUUCCUCCCAUCAAAUUGAUCAAUUUUAUUGACCACUGCUUGCAAUGCUUUGGUUGCCAAAGCUUCCUUUCGAUCAUUGCUUUGCUGUUGCUGCAUUGAUAAUGAGAAGGCUUGAAACAUACUAGCAAUAGAUGGAUCCAUGUGCAUACCUUGUCCUUUAGAAGAAUCUCCACCAGAAACUCCUCCCAAAAAUCCUUCAAAAUUUUUAUUUUCAUUUUCCAUAAAAUAAAGAUAAAAUCAACCGAAAUCCAAUACCUUCCACCUCAAGCUUUUACGUCGGGUUCAUGACUUUUUUCGUAUUACGUGCUUUCCUGCUCGAGAACGCGCCGGGCGUCUGGCUGUAGAAGGUAGUAUAGAGAUUUGUCAAUAUUCAAGCAGUUUACCGGUUUUUGACUGUUGGAAUACAAACAACUGCAAGAAUUCACCGUAAAUCUAUAUGGAUGCCCUUCGACUGCUCGUCGAAGUGCUUUUUGUCCCGACCGAUAGGUCUCUAGACGUUACAGAGAAACCCGUACAAUCCAAACUGCUAAUCUUCGACACCGCUUUAUACUCAUGAUCUUGUAUCCACUGAUUGUUCGUUAGAUUAAUCCAAUAAAUUUCAUUCACUCCGCAUACUCAAUCCUAUAGAGACCCUUUUAAUUCUUCAUCACAGACGUAACUCGAUUUCAUAAAACAGUCAAUAGUAAUCAAACCCACUUCAUUAAAAAUCCCGAUUCACCAUUACAACACUGACUUCAGCAACGAUUGCCUCAGUCUUCCCAAAACCCUAUGAAGAAAAAAAAAACCCAAUUCUCUGUCUUUUUUCUCCGCCUGAAGCAUGAAGCUAGCUCUCUGAUUCUUCAAAAAAAAACUCUCCAAAAAACUUAUUCUCCCCCUUAACCUUAUCCUCUGAAUUUCUUCAAACUUCCGUCUUGGAUCCGAAAUUGGCUCCCACCAUUUGAGCUUAGAUCCAAAAUUGGCUCCGGUCGUUAGAGCUUAGAUCCAAAACUAGCUCUCGCCGUCAAAGCUUUCUCUUCCAUUUUUACCUUUAAGAAAUCUUUUUACUGAAAGGACAUUCCUGGAACGACACAAAGGACGGAACAGCCUGAAACGGAAUCGGAGCCCGUAAUCGGGACCACAUUGAGUCGCACGACCAAUUCAGGUCUCAUAUUGGGAAAGAGUCCAAUAGUAAGACCUGGAUAUUCCCGUAAUUAGAUCAAAUUGGUCCUUCGCGUCAGAUUGGCUGAGGCCCGUAGUAAGACUUGGAUUCUCCUCUAAUUAGACUGUAUUGGGUUGCCCGACCAAUUCAGGUCUCAUAUUGGGUAAGAGAACCCGGAUUGGAUUCUUGAAAUUGGAUCCAAUUGGCUCUUCAAACCAAGCUCAUCUGUCGUGUGAAUUGGUCCUUUCCCUUUCUGCUGACUCUCGUUAUUGGAAUCAAACAGAGUAUUUCAGUAUGCCUCGGUUGACUGUAACGGGGUGACUAAUCCUAGCCUCCUAGUAUUUGCACUGGAAUUGGUCGUUGCUCCCAAUAUUCGAGGUUACUGAACAUUAAUAAAAGUCCUCUUUCUUUAUAUUUUCACAGUAUACUCGUGUUACAACACGACACCGUAGUGAUACCACGGCUAGUGAUGAUAUGUCCCAAUAAUUUUCUUGACAGAAUACCAAAUUGAUACUUCUCCGAAUUUAGAGAUAUUCCAUACUUGUCGCAUUGAGCCAAGCAUUUGCCGAGACAAUUAAGAUGAUCUUAUUUUGUACUAAAUACACAGAAGUCAUCUAAAAAGUUUUCUAUAAAGAGCCGGAGAUAGUCUUGGAAGGCUUGAGUUAUCACUCUCUGAGACAUGGCCAGGGCGUUACAUAACUCAAAAGGCAUUAUGCGAUAAGCGAAUGUGCCCUAAUCAUUCUUAGCUUUGGCUUGAUAAAGCCAAGGUCUGCCCAAUAAAAUGGGAUACGACAACAUAGAACUCUGUAAUUGAAAUGUAAUAUAAUCGAUUUUGUAUGUCAAUCCCAAGAUUAGAAUGACAAUAUUACGUAAGAUUCCCAUUGGCUUUAUCCAACUAUGAUCUGCCAUUCGUAAGACCAAUGUCGUAGAUAGCAAUUGCUUUAGAUCCAAGUCCUCCAUUGUAUCCGCAUUCAUUAAAUUCACACUGGAGCCACCAUCAACUUGUACCCCUGGAAUUAAAAUGCCAUCAAUUGAUAUAUCCAUUGUUGGUGCUCCCGGAUCUGGGUUUAAGCUAACUUCAUGAAUUUCUUUAGUACGGGAUCUUCGUCGUAUUAACACUGAAUUCAAUGUAGAUCGACAUUUUUAUGCUACAGCCAAAAGUUGCUUCAUUAUAAUUCAAGGCUGAAUAACAUCCAAAUCCCUCAUAAUGUCAUAGGAUUCCAUAUUGAGAGUAAUUCCCAAUGCUCUUUUGUGUUUCAUUGGUUUCAAUUUUACUCCGUUCGACAGCAAUUCCUUCCUGGUGAUUGAGAUUGCCGUUGGUAACUUUGCCUACUUAUCUACCACUAAAGGUUCUUUUAAUGCGUAAGAUCUUUUAUUGGGCUGUACAGGUAUUGGUACUUGAUCAGUUGGGAUCGAUCUUGAUGGUCCUGGCAAAUUAGCACGUGAGACCAAAUUGGGUUCCUUAGUCUGUUGAGGUCUCAAUAUUGGCAUACGUCCCAAUACUGAUAUUGGUUCAUUUAGCCCCGUGGAUGGCGCUACUUGCUCUCCUAUGAUUGGUUCAUCCAUAUCUUGAAUUGGAUUCUUGUCUUUUUGUUGGCCUCUGGUAAGCACUGCGUUCACCACCUCGACACAAUGUAUUGGUGAGUCUCGUUGAACAGGGCCUUUGUCCUCCACCGGUUGGCUUGCUUAUAUUUGUUGGUCUCGGUUAUUAUAAUUAAAGGGUGCAUUGCACUGCUGAUAAGUGUGACCAGACUGCUUACAAUUUCCACAUAUUGGAGCAUAGUCAUCACUAGUCCUUGGAUUAGGACAUUCAUUGGCAUAAUGACCAAUUUGUCUGCAACGAUAGCAAUGAAGUGGUCUCCUACCAAUUCCUUCAGGGAUAUUGGGUGUCUCUACGGGUAUAUAACGGAUAGGUCUGUUCUAUGUCAGAUGAGUAAAGGAUCCUGGUUGAUCCAUUGUUACUGUAAAGUUUGGCAUUGGCUUUAUCAUGGGUAGAUAUUGAUGGUAUCCUGGUUGGUUCAUCACCAAUCCGUGAGUAUUGGAUACACCUUCUUGGUGAAAUUCAGAGUUGAAGAAAUUAGAAUAAUUCUUGUUUUAUUUAUUCGCCUGAUUUUCAUUCCAACCAAACCUAUUAUUCAUCUGUACUUGAUUGACAUCCGACAAAGUUAGUUGAAUCAUUAUCUGGUUACUGAGCUGUUGUUGCUUCCGUAAAUUCCAACAGUUGGUGGUAAUAUGCUUGCCCCCGCAAAAGAUACAUUGUAUAGUUAUUUGGAGUGGUGAAAGACAUUCUGUUACUAAAUGACCUUGCUCCUUACAAUUGCUGCACCAGACAUUGGAACGCAUAUUAGUUGGUUUAUGCCUUUUUUCUUUAUCCUUGGCCAGAUUCACAACCAAUUCAUCCAUUUUUUUCAUCAAUGUUAACAGCAAUGACUCAUUAGGAUCCCUUGAUAUCAAUGCAUUUUGCAAUUUCUUUGUAGGUAUUGGUUUCUGAUAUGCAAAAUAAGGGGCAUACAGGUGUGAUGAUGAUGGUAGUACAACUUGCAAUCGAACGACAUCCACUAUUUCCUGUGAAAUUGUACCAUACUCAUUCCUUCCCAAAUAACUUUCUGAUGUGUCAUUCCAAUUUGUCAUUUGAUAACCUCCUUGAGAUCGAAUCAUCGUGGCUCCAACUCUUAAGUUCUGGUCAUAGUGACAUUCCUCCUAUACUUUUGCUCGCUCAAGAGAUGAUGCAAUGGUGGCUGAUUGGGCCUCCUUUACAAACAUUUUCAAUUCUCGUGGGUGUAGUCUAUUAACCAAUAUGGACAAUACAAAUGAUUCUGGUAUUUGGUUAUUUGGCCAUUUUUGAAUUAUAUCCGCUACACGACCAUAAUAUGACUGUACUGCUUCCCUUGGUACCAUUCUGCUGUUCAUUAAUUUUUCUCUAAGACAUUCUUGAAAACCAAUUGGUCAAAAAUGGACUAAAAAUGUAUUUUUCAAUGCCUCCCAAUUGAUAAAUUGUCCCACAGGUUGGCGGUUAUACCACUCAAACACUGUGUCUUUUAAUUUCGCUGACAGCCAUCUGAGCCAAAUGUCUUUUCUUCUUCCAUUAUUGGCUACACACGCCUUCAAGAAUUGAGACAAAUGUUGAUCUGGAUCCGCACCUGACAAACCCCAAAAAGUAAGUAAUGGCACGACGCUAGUCGUUCGAUCACCCACUGCACCUAUUUGAACUGCAAUCACAACUGCUGGUCCUCCGGACAUCAUUAAAGAUGCCGAUGUUUCACUCAAUUUCUUAUUAAAAUAAAAACUGUCUCCUACAAAAGUCUUUUUCAGACUUCCAGGCCUUCCCGAUUGACUAUUAUUAUUCCCAAAUAAUUUUACUGGUUGAAUAUGAGGUGAAAAUGACAGGUUUUGAUAUACUUUGAAUUCGUCUUUAUUGGCAAGUAAUUUAUGCCGAUCUUUAGAAUCAGUCUUGUUAGGAUCAGACGUAUUUUCAAUUGAGAAGAUACCCAGUGGGAUACCUAAUUCCUCUGUGCCUUCCUCAUUUUCUGUUAACGGCUUCGAGAGGUUUGCUCGACUAUUAGCAGCCCUCCCCGCGAGUGCUCUUGGUAAUUUCUUUAAGGGUAUGUACUUCUGAAAUAUUAGAGGUCGAUCGUUUUUUGGAUACGAUCGAAUAUGCCGACAGGCAUGCAACCACGGCUUAAUCCAACUUUAUCAAUGCUUCUUUUUUAAUUUAUGAUCUUGCUCAUUACGUAACAAAUUUCUUGCUUGCGAUCGCUCUAUUCUUUCCUUUGAUUACUUUAUUCUCUUUGCUGUUAAAUUCUCAUUCUUAAUAACAAUACUCUUUUAUUAUUUCUACUGAGUUUGCUUCCUAAUCUCCUUUACUGCUUUGACAGUUAAUUCCUAACACUCAAUAAUGUUGUCAAUCUCCGGCAGCAGCGCCAAAAUGUGAUUGCUCCUUUUAGUUAUUCCGGAAGAAAUUUCCAAAUAUAAACCCAUAUAGGGAGAUUCAAACACGGGGAAUGACCAUGUAUAUGAGCUCCAAUUGUUAGCAUCAUGCAAUUAAUUGCUAUUGCUCAAUGCUUACCAUACCGAAGAACACUUAAAUUUUCUUCCUACUGUCCACUCUCUCAUAUCAAUACAAUAACAUCCACAACAACGAUUUCAAUACGCUGUAUAACUCACAAACACACAAGUAUAUCCCAAACCCUGGAAUGAACAACUUCCAAUCCACAGAAUCUAAUCAAGAUAAUUCCUUCAAUUACAAUUCCUCUCCGCUAAACUUACAACCUUGCGAUAAACAGUGACUAAAAACUUCCAUACGUCCUCAAUCUUUCACAACAGUUGAUAAACAGUGAUCCAUAAACAACUUCGUAAAUCAAACAUUAAUUCAUUAAAUCGAUUCUCUUCACUAGAAUCAAUACUAACACAAAAGAAACAAGAAAAUUAAGAAGAAGAGAUAGCACCAAACUUAUCCCCGGCUCAAUGCUAUCGCAGUCAGGCCCCUGGCUCACAACUUUCACAGUCUCAUAUUUUCUUCCCCUCUCCCAUCCUCCUUAUACUACCCCGAGAUACAAACUCCAAUACUACAGAUGAUAACUACUUUUCCUGACUAUUCAUCCAUUCUACCUACUGAACCACCUUUUCAAUAGUUAUCUAUCCAUGUUUUCACCAUAUACUAGAUAUCUACAUUCUGAAAAAAACUACAUAUUCUGCACAACCCAAUUUCAAGAUUUUUAAGAUGUAUUUGAGAAGAAGAAUGUAGAUACUCCUCCGAAACAUCAUUCCUAUGACUGCUCAAUUGAACUUCAAGAAAGAGUACAACUGCCAUUUGGAAUAAUCUACAAUUUAUUUCAAAAUGAGUUGGCUAAACUCAAGGAGUAUAUUGAAGAGAAUCUGGCCAAGAACUGCAUACGCCAUUCCAAAUUUCCAGUAGAAGCUCCAAUUUUAUUUGUGAAGAAAAGAGAUAGAUCAUUGCGGAUGUGUGUCAAUUAUCGAGGAUUCAACAAAAUCACCAUCAAGAAUAAGUACUCGCUAUCUUUGAUAUUUAGACUCCUUGAUCAGUUGAAUCAAGUUAAGAUCUAUACAAAAAUAAAUCUACGAAGAGCAUACAAUUUGGUAUGCAUCAAAAAAGGAGAUGAAUAGAAGAUUGCAUUUUAAACAAGGUAUAGACAUUUCAAAAACAACGUCAUGCCUUUUGGACUUACAAAUACACCAGCAGCAUUCUAACAUCUAAUGAACGAUGUCUUUUGGGAGUUUUUAGAUGAUUUUAUUGUCUAUUAUCUAAACGACAACUUAAUCUAUUCUAAGAACAUAGAAGAAUAUGAACUUCAUGUUUGUUGUAUCUUACAAAAACUAAGAGAUGCGGGACUCUAUGCUAAGAUAGAAAAGUACAUAUUUUAUACUACUUAAGUCGACUUCUUAAGAUACAUGAUUUCAAAUGAUGGACUUAUGAUGGAUUCUAAGAAAGUUCAAGCUAUUAUGGAUUGAAAGAUUCCAAAAAUGAUAAGAGGUAUCUAAUGCUUUUUGGAAUUUGCCAACUACUAUCGGAUCUUGUAGAAUAGGUAAAUAAAUUUUGUGAUAAGUUACUGGUUGGUUAUUGAUAACCUUGAGAAUUAGACUUAUGGUUAGGUAGUUUAGUUAGUAAUAAUAGGUUGUUAUUGGAACAAAUGGUUAAGAAUUCAAAGAGUCAUAACCUUUGGAAUCUGCUAGCCGACAAUCCAUCUUUUGGUAGGAUAAAGAGGUUGAGAAAAAGAAGAUCGGAGCCAGACUAUGAGAGUCGUAAGUCGGAGGGCCAAACUGUGAGAGAUAUAAGCCAGGGUAAGCUUGAUGCUACCUCUUUGUUUUCUUUGCUUUUAUUAUUUGCUUAUGAAGAAUUGUGCUUGAGAGAAGUAUUGUUGAAACUAUGAUUAGAAUAUUGUGGAAUAUGACUUUGGACUGACCGUUGUUGUAUUACGUGAAGUCUUGCUUGAGAAUGCACCGAGCACCUAGCGGUGGAAGGUAAAAAAAAAUUACAACAAAAGGUCUUAAUAAUCUAAUAGGAUUAUAGAAAAAUUACAAUUAAACGUUAACAAUCAUAAUCAAACAUUAAGCAAGCUCAAUUAAACUUUAUUGGAAUUAUAAAAGAAACGCAACGAAAUCCUUAAGGAAAUAUAAAAGAAUAUUAAAGAAAACUUAAUCAAACCCUAAUAAAAAUCUAAAUAAACCUUAAAUUCUAACCAAAUCCUAAUCCUAAUCCAAUCUUAAUCAAACCCUAGACAAAUCCUAAACCCUAAACAUACCCUAGUCAAAUCUUAGACAAAUCUUAAGCCUAACAAAUCUUAAUCAAUUCCAAAUCCUUAACAAAUCCUAAUAAAAUCCUAAACAAACCCUAGUCAAAUUCUAGUCAAAUCUUAACUCUAAACCCUAACUAAAUCCUUAACCUAAUCAAACCUUAAAUCCUAAACCAAAUCCUAAUCAAAUCCUAACUCUAAACCUUAAUCAAAUCCUAA